rnacentral:lncRNA from 1 species
AACUUGAUACUCAAUCUCUUUUCUCUUCAAAUCUGCAUACGACUUUUGUCUGUCUGAGGCUGCUUUCAAGCAAUCUCUAAUGAUUUUUACUUUCUCUUCUGUUUCCUUAACUAGAUCAACCCCGUAAAUCUGAUUUUCCUUAAGCUCUGUCCAAUACAAAGGUGUGCGACAUUUACGUCCACACAAAGCUUCAUAAUGUACCAUCUUUAAACUCGACUGAUAACUAUUACUGUAGGCAAACUCUACUAAUGGUAAAUAUUUUUCCCAACUGCCUUGAAAUUACAGUACACAGCAUCUAAGCAUAUCUUCAAGUACCUGAAUAACUCUCUCUGACUGACCGUCGGUUUGAGGAUGGAAAGCUGUACUAAAACUCAACUUAGUGCCCAAAGCCUUCUAUAAUUUCUUUCAAAACCGUGAAGUAAAUCUUGGAUCUCUGUCUGAAAUGAUCGAUAACGGUACCCCGUGUAGUCUGACUAUCUCUGAAAUAUACAACUCGGCCAACUUGUCAAGUGAAUAAUCCAUACGAACUGGGAUAAAAUGAGCUGACUUCGUUAACUUAUCAAUCACAACCCAUAUUGCAUCUUUCUUUCUUGGUGUCAAUGGCAAUCCUGUCACAAAAUCCAUAGUAACUUGAUCCCAUUUCCACUCAGGGACUAACACAGGCUGCAAUAAACCUGAAGGUACCUGAUGUUCGGCCUUUACCUGCUGACAGAUGAAGCAUCUAGAAACAAACUCUGAAAUGUCCCUUUUCAUUCCUACCCACCAGUACAUUUUCUUCAAAUCAUUAUACAUCUUUGUACUACCUGGAUGAAUAGACAAAGAACUACUAUGUGCUUCCUGUAAGAUCUUUCGAAUAAGCUCAUCUACGCAUAACCUACUCUGAACAUCAAACAACCGUCAGAACUGAUCUGAAAAUCUGACUCUAUAUCCGACUCACACUGAUCUCUUUUGGCUAACAACUCACUAUCAUUUUUCUGAGCUUCACAAAUUUCUUCAAGAAACAUCGGUUUAACUCUCAACUCAGCUAAGAUAAAACCAUCAUCUAAUAAGGCUAGACUAGUAUUCAAAGCUCUUAAUGCUAAUAAAGAUUUCCUACUCAAAGCAUCAGCAACAACGUUUGCCUUACCUGGGUGAUAAUCGAUCACUAGCUCAUAAUCUUUAAUCAACUUUAACCAAUUUCUUUGCCUCAAAUUCAAAUCUUUUUGAGUCAUCAAAUAUUUCAAACUUUUGUGAUCAGUGAAUAUAUGGCACUUCUCACCGUACAAAUGAUGUCUCCAAAUCCUCAACGCAAAAAUAAUGGCAGCUAGCUCUAAAUCAUGUGUCAAAUAGUUCUUCUCAUGUGGCUUUAACUGUCUAGAGGCAUAAGUAAUUACCUUCCCUUCCUGCAUAAGUACACAACCAAGUCCAUUCAUGGACGCAUCACUGUAAAUCACAAAUUCCUUACCUGGUUCUGGUUGUACUAAAACAGAAGCUUUAGUCAACAAUGCUUUUAACUUGUCAAAACUCUAUUGACACUUCUCAGUCCAUUCAAACUUGACAUCCUUUCGCAGCAAUCUUGUCAGCGGGGUAGCUAUCAUGGAAAAUCCCUCUACAAAUCGUCUAUAAUAUCCGGCAAGACCAAGAAAACUUCUAACUUCUGAUACAUUUCUAGGAGGCUUCCAAUCAACAAUGGCUAAAAUCUUACUCGGAUCGACCUUAAUACCUUCACUUGAGACAAUAUGUCCAAGAAAACCAACUUCUCGUAACCAGAACUCACUUUGCUGAACUUGGCAUAUAACUGAUUAUCUUUCAGAAUCUAUAAAACUGUUCUCAAAUGCUCUGCAUGCUCAGUCUCAUCAUGAGAAUAAAUCAAGAUAUCAUGAAUGAACACAACUACAAACUUAUCCAAGUACGGUCUGAAAAUUCGGUUCAUUAAGUCCAUGAAAAUGGCAGGAGCAUUAGUCAAGUCAAAUGGCAUCAUAAGGAACUCAUAAUGACCAUACCUAGUCCGGAAAGUAGUCUUCAAGACAUCUGACUCUUUAACUCGCAACUGAUAGUAUCCGGAUCUCAAAUCUAUCUUGGAAAACACAGUAGCUCCCUUCAAUUGAUCAAACAAAUCAUCAAUUCUAGGCAAUGGAUACUUGUUCUUUGCUGUUACUUUGUUAAGUUGCCGAUAAUCUAUGCACAAUCUCAUCGAUCCGUCUUUUUUUUUCACAAAUAGCACUGGUGCACCCCAUGGUGAACUACUGGGUUUUACAAAGCCUUUAUCUGUUAAUUCCUGCAACUGAGCUUUCAAUUCUUUCAAUUCCAACGGAGCCAUUCUAUAAGGAGCAAUAGAAAUGGGUGUGGUACCUGGAAUCAACUCAAUACCAAACUCAACUUCUCUAACAAGAGGCAAACCUGGUAGUUCUUCCGGAAACACAUCGGGAAACUCACAUACCACAGGCACUGAUUCAAUUUUCAAUUCUGGAUCUUUAGUGUUUAACACAAAAGCAAGAUAAGCUUCAUACCCUUUUCUCAAACAUUUCUGAACAGACAUAACAGAAAUUAUGGGAAAUAAACUAUCUGACUCUUCUGAAUUAACCCGAAGAAUUUCACCAUUUUCACACUUCAACUCAAUGAAUUUCUUUCCACAAUUCACUAUCACAUCAUGUGUAGUCAACCAAUCCAUACCAAGAAUCACAUCAAACUCAUCAAAUGGCAAUAGCAUGAGAUCAGCCGGAAAACAGUAGCCUCUAAUCAUUAAAGGAAAAUUUCUACAUACUUUAUCUACUAAUACAUGCUUGCCUAAUGGAUUCGAUACUUUAAUCACAAAUUCUAUAGAUUCUAUAGGCAUACUUAUACUAGACAUCAAUUUCUUGCAAACAGAUGAAUGAGUUGAACCCGGAUCAAUCAAAGCAAUGACAUUAAUAUCAUAUAGAAAAAAUAUACCCUAAUCAUAUCGGGGAAUGGUGCCUCUUCGCGUGCACGAAUAGCAUAAGUCCUUGCAGGGGCUCUAACAUCUGGUCUCACAGCCGAAUCUCUUGAGGUACCUCUGUUACUUGCUCCUACUCCCGGUUGCCUCGGUGAUCUGCCUCUAGUAGGAGUAUUUCUGGAUCUAGCAUUCUGUGUUAUCUCUCGAUUAGCCACCUCUGGACAUUCUCGUACAAAAUGAUCUGGAGCACCGCAUUUAUAACAAACAUUUUCGCCUGCCCGACAAGGACCAUAAUGAAGUCUACCACACCGUGAACGCCCUGAUCUACCCUGUCCAACAUUAUCUACACUCGCAGUCGAGGUGUUCAGAGCCUUCAAAUCCUUAAAUCUGCUGCCUCUAUUCUGACUAGAAUACCUUGCUGAGAAACUAGAUCUAGUAGAAAACUCCUUUGGCAUUUUGGAUGUAGCCUGGAAUGACCUGCUCAUCUGUCUCUUCUUUGUAUCUUAUGUCUCUGUCUCAACUUUGCCUUUUGUUUUUAACAGCUCCUCUGCCUUACAGGCUCUCUCAACUAAAAUAACAAACUCUUUUAUUUCUAGGACACCCACUGACAGUCGGAUAUUAUCAUUUAACCCAUCCUCAAACCUUUUACACAUAAUAGCCUCUGUGGACACACAUUCUCGAGCAUAUUUACUAAGCCUGACAAAUUCGCACUCAUAAUCGGUCACUGUCAUAUGACCUUGUUUCAAUUCCAGGAAUUUCUCUCUCUUCUGGUCAAUAAACCUCUGACUAAUGUACUUUUUACGAAAUUCCUCCUGAAAUAAAUCACAAGUGACCCUCUCCUUUGGUACAACUGAUACAAGUGUCUUCCACCAGUAGUAGGCUGAGUCUCUAAGAAGUGAUACUACACAUUUCAUACAUUCCUCGGGUGUACAAGAUAAUUCGUCAAAGACUCUGAUAGUAUUUUCUAACCAAAAUUCUGCUCUUUCUGCAUCAUUAUCUUUUGUUGCUCGGAACCCUUCUGCCCCUUGUUUCCUGAUUCUAUCAACUGGUGGCUUUUCUCUUAUCACUGUACCUGUGACUGGGGGAGCUUGAGCUACAUGGGUAGCCUGAGAAUCAUGAGGGGGUGGAGGUCUAACUGUCGGAUUCGUACGAACGAACUCGGCAAACAAAUCAUUCAAAGCUUGGAAGAGAGCUUCUCGAGUCACUCCUCCCUGAUUAACUGUUACUGGCCUAUUCUUAGAUGGCGUUGCCCCUUCCGCGGGAGCAGGCGCAUUACUUUCUACAUCAUCAUCACCAGCUAGCUCGGGAUCCAUUACUAUAAAACAAAAUAUCUAAAAAUCGUUAGGAGUCGUCACACUAUCAAAAUACAGGUAUGGCAUGUAUAGCUAGACUUUUACUCACACUAACUGUUCCGAGAAUCGACUAAACCUGCUCUGAUACCAAUAAAUGUAACACCCCCACGCCCGAAACCGUCACCGGAGUCAAGCUUGAGGUGUUACUAAACUUAUCUUACCUUUUAAACAUCUCUAAACCACUUAUUUUAAUUUUCGGAAUAAACUAUUUUUCUGCGUCAUGGUUGCUUAAAAAUUUAUUUCUCGAGUUUCAAAACUCGAAAUUAAGAUCCAUAAAUUUUUCCUGAAACUAGACUCAUAUAUCUAUCUACUAAUUUUUUUCUAGAAUUUUUGACUUAGAUAAUUAGUACAGUUUAUUAGUUAAAGUUACCCCUGUUUCAGAGUUCGAAUCAUAUGACUAUACUGUUUAUUUCUAUUAAAACUAGAUUCAAUAAGGAUUCUAACCAUAUAAAGUACACCACCUAAUUAUUUUUGUAAAAUUUAGGGUGAAUUUCUAAAGUUGGAACAGGGGAUCCAGAAAUCGCUCUGGCCCUAUUUCACCAAAACUCAGAUACCUUAUAAAAUACAAAACCUUUACCUAUUUUUCUUAUUCCAUAUGAAAAUAGACACUACGAGCUUUAAUUUCAUAUAUUAUUCACCAUCAACCCAUGUCUCUACAAUUUCUUGUGAUUUUUCAAAAUCACGUUAUUUCUGAUACUUGAAUCUGUUUUUAAGUUACUUUCACAUUUUUCUUAGUUUUCAUGUGAUAGUUACUACUUAAUCAUACAUACUAUUAAACAUGUAUAUCAUCAGCCAUUCUAUUAGUUAAUCACUAGCAAGUAUUAACACAUCAUUCAUUGAUUAUAUCAUAUCAAAAGAACCCAAAUUCCUAUACAUGCCAUACACAAAACGAAACGUCUAACUAUACCAAUGUGAUUUCUUUGAUAGUGUGAUCGGUUUCCGACGUUUCCUUCGAUCCCCGAGUGGCUUGAUAAAAACUAUAAGAAAAAGAAAAUAAAGAGUGUAAGCACUAGGCUUAGUAAGCUUACAAGCAAAUAAAUUUCAACAUUCAACAUAAUGAAUAAAUAUACAUAAUGUCACCUAGCUUCAUAAACUUUCUUUACAUUCUCAUUUUCUACCUCCUUCUUUACUCACUUACCUUCUUUCUUACCUGACCUUUCACUAUUCAUAAAUAUAAUUUACCUUCCCUUUUUGCUGAUAAUUCACUGUAAUUUAACGUAUACAAUGACCCGUUGAACCAUUCAGAAUACUAAAGAUACUAGGGUCGUUCCUGUCUAUCAAUAUCCUACCAAUGCCAUGUCUUCGACAUGGACUUACAUGAAUUAUUCCUGUCUCCAAUGCCAUAUAUAUAUCUGAUAUGGGCUUACAUGGCUCAUUCUUGUCUCCAAAGCCAUAUAUCUGAUAUGGACUUACAUGGCUCACUUCUGUCCUGUCCUGUCCUGUCAACCCCAAUAUCCUAACAUUCCUAAGGUUCAAACGGGGCUUCCUAAUGCUUUUUCUCUGUCACUUCGCCUUUAAUUCGACUUUAAAUAUUCAAAGAAAAUAAGUAUAUAAAUGCUGGAAAUUGACAAUAAUAAUGUAAAAUAAAAGAAUAUUGCAUUUAUUUACUGUAAACUUACCUCGAUACAAAAUGUGACUAAACUUUACAAUUUAGUCCUUUACUUUUUCUUUUCCCCGAUCUACUCCCGAAUUUCGUUCUUCUUGAUUAUGGAGCUUGAAAAUUGAAGAAACGCUAGCUAUGGAGAGAGCAUAAAUUCGGCAGCAACUAAAGAAGAUGAUAACAAAUUUUGUGUUAUUUUUCCCUUUUUAAUUCGUUUAAUAUCUAAAUGACCAAAUUGCCCCUCCUUACUAAACUUUAAAAAAAUUUCCUUCCAUAUCAUAAUUUUUGUCCAUGAACUUAAAAUUGGUCAAAUUAUUAUUUAAACCCUCCUAAUUAAUAUUCCAAAGCAAUUUCAUACUAAAAACUUCUAGAAUGCAAGUUUUGCAAAUUAUUCAAUUUAGUCCCUAACCUUAACUUAAGCACUUUAUGCAUAGAAUUUCUUCACGAAAUUUUCACACAAUCAUGCAAUCAUAUCAUGAACCUCAAAAUAAUAAUAAAAUAAAUUUUUAUACCUCGGAUUUGUGGUUUCGCAACCACUAUUCCGUUUAGGCCUUAUUUCGGGAUGUUACACGUUCUCAGAAAUAUUUCUAUGGCUAUUGAUCUUCUGAAGAAAUUCUUGUUAUAUGGGAAUGUCUUUUAAUUCUGGUGUUGGAUGAAAGCAUUGGUAGUCUGACUGGGUUAUAAUUUAUAUUGCUCUAUUUCAUCGGGUAUUCUAUUUCAUUUCGACUGAUAAGAAUUGAUGAGAGAAUACGUAUGAUAUUAUGAUUCUGUUUCUUCUACUUGAUGUUUCAUGUGAUAUAUAUGUAUGAGAAGAUAUAUUGUUCUUGUUAUACUUGAUUCCAGUGGGAUUAAAUGAUGUUUUCUUUUGGACUUUCUUUCUUUGAAGAAUUAUCGGGGUAUUCUGUAUUUUCUCUAUGAGUUUGGUUUCCGAUUCUCCGGCAUAGUAUCGUAUCUUGGGUUUCUUUAUCCUGGAUCUCUUUAUUCUGGAUUUCUUUAUUCUGGGUUUCUCUAUCUUGGAUUUCUUUAUUCGGUUUUCUUGUUAUCUUUGUUCCAUAAUUUGUCAAUUAUGACUCAUGUUCGAAGUACGUUCUUCAGCUCGUGAUAAUCAUGUCAAAUAUGACUAUACUUCUAAUUUGGUCUUGGUAAUAUGGUGAUUUUAGUAUUGGGAUUUUUUUCUAAUUUCUGUGUAAGGAUUUGACAUCAGUAAAGGCAUAGGUGAUAAAAGCGCAAGUUUCAGUCGGUAUGGUGAAUUAUUUAUUUGAAAGAUUUCAUGUGACAAUUAUGUCAAGAUUAUUUUUCUCGAGUUUGAUAAUAGAAUUUCAUUUUUGUACUGAUAAAAGAGUAAAUAGUCUGAACAAGAAGUGUAUAGUUAUUAGAAAGAGUUGGAUAUUAGUUAAAGUCACUAUGAAUGAUAAGGUUUUCGUCUUGUGAAAGCUGAAAAGUUUAUUACAUGUUGACAGAGUUCGGAUAGAUGAAAAUAUUGGUAACCGAAGGGGGUAGAGUUGUAAUGCCCCAAUUUUUGGGAAUUCUGUGAAUGUUGGCAUAGGUUUAAUUAUGUUAGUGGGCCUCUAGAAGGCCCAAGCUUAAGAUAGAACCCGACAAUUUUAGUUAAUUUUUUGUUCCAUAAGAAAAAGGGGGUGAAAUUAUGAAAUAGGACCUAUGUGAAAAUGUUUGAAAAUGCUAUAGGCUAAUUUGUAGUGGCCAAAUAAAUAGGAGUGCAAAAUAGGAGGAUUUGCAUGUCAAACCUCCCAUUUUACAUGAAGUGGCUGGCCAUCAUGUUGUUGAAGACAAUAUGUGCAUUUGAUAUCCAUAAUUUAUGGUACAAAUUGAUAAAAAAUUGAUAAUGGGUUAGGUAAAUGUUCCAUGAUGGGCAUUUCAUGUCUUUUGCAUUAAAGAAUUAAAUGGAUGAAAUAUGAAAUUUUAUUAAAAGAAAAAGGGGUGAAAAGAACAAAGUUUUGUCCAUCUUUGUUCAUCAUAGCCGAAAGUUAGAGAAGAGAAAGGAGAGGAGAAAGCUCUUGAAUGUUCGGCCACUUGGGGAAGAAAAUUGAAGGUAAGUUCAUGGUAAUUUGUUUCUAUCUUGAUGUUCAUGAGUUCUUCUUAAUUCUACCUUAACUUUUGAAGCAUAUUUUGGUUUUUGGGUGUGUUGUGAGCAUUUGGUCAUGAAUUAAAAUGAAAGAAAUGGUUUUUGUUUCAUGUUCUUUUGAUGAAAAAUGGAAGAUAGGUGAAGUUGAGCCAAAGAAAUGAGCAUGCAUGUGCCUUAGAUGCUAAAGGGAAAAAUUGGCUAACAUGUUGUGCUUUAAAAUGAUGAAAUGGAGAUUAUACUUAAGUAAAUUCAUAGAUAUGUGAUGAUUGAUUGGUGAUAUACAUGUUUAAAUAACAUGCAUGCAAGAUAGGUGUGUGAAAGAGUGAUUUGGUAAUAAAUCUGCUUGGGAUAGCAGCAGUAAUGUGACUUUGGAAAAUUACCAUAAAUUGUGGGAGAUGAAUUAGAAGCUGAAUAACUUAUGUAAUUAAAGCUUAAUGAGUCUAGUUUCAAAUGAAAUAAACGAGAACAUAUUUUGUAUUCUGUACAAUGAAAAAUUUGAGUCGUAAUGAAGAGUGAUCAGAUUAGUCAAACAGUGAAACAUGGGAAUCUUUGAGAAAAAUCUGGUAUUGAUUGGCUAGACCAAAAAUUUUGAAAAUUUUAUUGAUAGAAGAUAUAUGAGUCUAUUUUCAGGGAAAAUUAACGGCACUUGAUUUGGAGUUUCGUAGCUCUAGUUAUAAAUGAUUUAGUGACUAUUGCUCAGGAAGACAGCUUGCAGUGAAAUUAUGAUUAUGUGGUAAACAUUGACAAAAAUUUGUUAAUGAGUUGCUUAUUGAUUUCUUAUAAGCUUACUAAGAUCUGUAGGUGUGGUUGGUCGAAUAUUGUAAGGGGUUAAUACGUAGUUCGUAUUUGAAUAGUUAGAUUAACGUGCUAGUAAUCCAAUUGUAGGCAAUUCGUGUGUGGAUCUCGUCAGCAUAUCGUCGCAAACAGGUGUGUAACUAACACCCUCUUUCUUAGUCUAGAUCGGUAAAAGUCGAAAAGCUGAAAUGCCGAAAACCGGUAUUUUGUAGAUUUGCGAGUGUGCGAAUGCUCGUGAGGUAAAUCGAUUAAUUUUUUUGGUAAGUUGCAAUGUUUGGACUGCAAAGUGCAUGAUUUCUGUGCCCUCGAUAUUUUUGGGCUUAAGGGGCCAAAAUUGGAAUGAUUGACCAACGGGCCCAAUUCGGUAAGAACCCUCGGUAGUGAUUCUGUUAGUAUGUGAAAGGUAGGAAUAUGCAUGAAAAACCCUAAAAUAGAUAAAUUACUGAAAUACCUUUAAAAGUGGAAAAUUUACAGUUUUACCCCUAGGAGAUAAAUUAUCGAAAUACCUCUAGGGUUAAAUUGACCUAAAUGCAUGUUUGACUGUUGUUAUUUACUGCAUGCCAUGUUGUUAUUAUCUGAUGCAUGGGACUGGGAUAUUGACGGAGGAAGUAUUGAAAGUGGCUUGUCCACGUACUGGAGGCUUUACCUCAAUUUACUGUUAACUGAGCAGCAAGGUUGCAACUGUGGAGUGUUGGGCUGGGUGGGUUGAGCUAUUCCCCACAUGGAGUGUAUGGCUGGUACGGGUGGAAUGUAGUGGUUAGUGGGUUGAGUAGUCUCCCCAAAUGGGCUUGUAUAUGUUAUUGAUGUUGCAUGUAUUUUGAAAUGGGCCUAUGGGCCAUACUGUUAUCUGAAUAAGGGGCUAAGGCCCAGUUUAUUGUAAUCUGAAAAGGGCUCUGGCCCAGUAUCACUAUUACCUGAAUGGUCUUAGGCCCAAUAGGCUUGAGCUGACUUGGACUUUGAAUGGGUUUUCCUUACACACUGAGUUUCCCCAAACUCACCCCUUCUUUAACCUUGCAGGUGAGCCUUGAUGUGGGUGACUUGGAGCCGGAGGGGAUUCAGAAUGGCCAUGGUGAAUAAUUUUGGGUUUGAAAAAAAAGACUGGUUUUCUUAAGUUAUUUUUAAUUACUGUUUAAUUUUUGGGUUGUAAUAAGGCCAUUUUAACUUUAUUUUCUUCUUUGAUUUUCUGGGAUUAUAUUAUUUUAAACAACUUUAAAUUGUUGGAUAAUAAUUCAAAUGGGCUAGACUUAGGGCGCGAUUUCAAAACAAUGCUUUUUUUUUAAAUAACACGACGUCACGAAUAUUCGAUUUACCAAAGAUAAUCACUCAAAGAAAUUUCAACUUGUCAUAACCAAGUGUGGCAGUGGAUAUGGGCAUGUCUAGGAUUGGAUCCAAUCAGAGAGCUUGGUACUUAAGCAGCCUUCAUGGCUCACCUUCUCUUUUCCGGUUUCCUACCUGGUGCCCAGCUUCCAUUCACUUGGAUAGUUUGACAAAAGUCAGCUUUUAAAACACUGAAAAGGGAACACGGGUUUUUAACUUCAAUGUGGCACAUCGGAUUCGGGCUUAACGUCUGGGCCGGGUUUGGGGUGCUACAGAACUAAACUAGUCUACAUUGAGCAAAGACUUCCUGAUUUUCAGUAAUGUACUGUUGUAUGAAUUGUGAUGUGUUUCAAGACAGUAAGGUAAUGUGAUAGUUUAGAGCAUUCAAUGUUACAUAAAAUCUGAGUUGUUAAAGGGGUUAAAGCCGAGCAUUGGGAUCUAUCAAAAUUAUCCUUACCAAUGUUGAUAUUGGGAUGGAAAUGAGAAGGAUUAUUCUUGAGGCCAUAUCAGAAUUAUUUCUAUGGCGGAAAGAGGAAAAUGUGAUGUAUCCUAUUCUUAAAGGUUUGGCGAGAUCUAUAAAUCAUAUCGGUAUUGAAUGAAUUCCUACUCAUCAGAUUCAUGGAAUUUCAGAUCUCUUUGAUUGUUGGAUUUCUUGGAAUUCCGGUCUCCAUUAAAUCAAGUUGAGAUACGGGUUUUAUGUCAUGAUAUCAUGGGAAACUGAGAAGGGUUGAAAAUUUAAGAACAAUGAAGAGAUGAGUCCGUAAGCUUUCAGAAUAUAUGAGAAAUUAAAGAGAUAUAUUGGAGGCACUGCCUGAGUGAAAGUUCUUCAGCACCGAAUAUGAAAUUGAGAAAUCUAAGUGAAGACCACUUUUCCAGUAAGAUUUUCGGGGACGAAAAUCCCUAAAGGGGGGGAGAGUUGUAACGGCCCAACUUUCAGUGAUAUCGGAACAGUGAUUUGAAAUCGCUAAAUUUGACAUGUGAGUUUAGAUAUUAGUAAGUAAAUGUUAAGUGUGGUUUUAGAAAUAAUUUUGAAUUAAAUGAAAUUAUGUAGUAUAGGAAGUUGUAGAUAAAACAGAAUAAAAACGAGGUAUCAAGACCUCGAAUUCAUAAAUCGAGCCAUAAAUAUUUUUAAAAAUAUUUAUGGAGUGUAAAUAAGUUAGUAUUAAGUUUUCGUUAGAAAAUUUUAACGUUUGGAUAGUCAAUUAAUUAAAAAUGACUAAAUUGAAAAAGGUACAAAACUUGAUAAAAUGAUUAAAUGGCUCAAGUGUUAAAUGAGGGAGGACUUAAAAGGCAAAUUAGCCUAAAGGGAAUGGAUGAGGCGGCAUAAGCAAGAAAAAAAUCUGGAAUCAGGUGAACUAAGGGUAAAAUGGUAAAUUUAACAAAAUUAAACAAAUAAAUUGAAAUUGAAAAAGAUUUCUAGGCCAUUCUUCUCAUAAUUUCGGCCAGACAGCCAUGGGAGAGAGCUUUUAAGCUGGUUUUGCAAAAUUCCACUGCAUGUGAGUUUAUUUCUUGCCCUUUUCUUAUAUUUUUGUAUUUUUAAGACUUUUGCAAUUAGGUCCAAUUAUCUAAUUCAUUAGUUUUUGAUUUGGUGGGUGAAAUUGGAAGUUACCCUGGUUGAGUAAGGGUAGUAUAUGAUGAAUUAUUAUGAAAUUGAAGUUCUAAUUUCAUAUUAAGGUUGUUUUAUUAAGUCAUUUUGAUAGAAAAUGGUAUUUAGGACCUAAUUGUGAAAAAGUUGUGAAUUAAAUGUUAGUGUUGAAAUUCAGAAUAUCAAAGGUUGUGAAAUAAUUUAUAAUGAUAAAAUAAAAUGUUAAUUGAGAAAAAAAAUUAGUUCAAUUGAUGGGUGAAAUGAGCAGGGACUAAAUUGUAAAAACUGUAAAUUUUGGGGUAAAAGUGCAAUUUCGAAAUUUGAACAGCAUAAAUUGUGGAGUGAAAUAGAAGUCAAAUAAAUGCUAAUGAGUAGAAAUACUUUAUAUUAUAGAUCAAUAAUCCAAAGAAGAACGAGAAAAAGAAAAAGUUACAGAAUAGUCUCUAAAUUUCAAUAUCUUCUACAAAUCAGCCAGGUAAGUUCAUAUGUAAAUGUUGGUAACAUAGUUAUUAUUUUAAAUAUUUUUAUGUUAUUUAAAUGAUAUGAUAAUUAUUAUGAAAUAUUAUACUCGUGAUAAUUGUUUGAUAAUAUGUCAAAUUAUGUGAUAUACUUGGAAAAUGUGAAAUACUACCGAGUAUCGGUAUCAGCAUUCCGUAGGAGAUGGUUGAGACACAUGAUUGGGAAAAAGGUCCCGUUGAACCUUAGGAAUGGAUUAGGAUACAAAUGACAUGUCACUAGGAUAUUUGGGCAUCCGAACUCGUUGAGUUGAGUCCGAGUUCACUUAUGGAUGCGAAUGUCCGAACUCGUUGAGUUGAGUCCGAGUUCGAGAGAUGUAACUAGGCAUCCGAGCUCGUUGAGUUGAGUCCGAGUUCACUUAUGGAUGCGAACGCCCGAGCUCGUUGAGUUGAGUUCGAGUUCGCUUAUGGGCGGGUUACAUGGUAGCUUGGCUACAUAUGUGGCACUUAUGUGCAAACUUUCCAUGUAUCCGAAUUAUAUUCCGAUGUGUUCAACGGGUAAAAUUCUACUCAAAUGGAGGAAUACUAGAGAUGAAAGGGACGUAUUGGUAAGUGUCGUGAAAUGAAUACUUUGAACAGGUUUGUACUUAACCCUCGGGUUGAAAACUCGACAUGACAACAAUAUGGUAAGAUUGUAAAUGAAAAUGUGAUAUGAAUGUCUCGGUGAUGAUUAUGAAAAUGAUGUUUUAUGUUUGCUUAUAUAGUUGUGUUACUUGCUAUUUGUAUGUGAACUUACUAAGCAUUUAUGCUUACUCCCUCCUUUUCAUUCCUUGUAGUUUUGACAAGCUAGCUCGGAAAUCAAGAACGGUCGGAGGCUCGCUCACACUAUCCGUGUAUCAUCUUGGUAUAACGGUUUGUAUAUUUUGAGCAUGGCAUGUAUAUCAUUAUAAUCAUUUUGUGUAUAUAGUCUUAUGAUAUGGUUAUUGAGUGGUAUGGAAAUGCUUGAUAAUGAUUAGCUGUUGGAAUGGCUAAUUAAUGACAUAUUUGGUGUUAUGUAUGCCUAAGUGCUAGUUAUUCCAUGGAAAUCAUGAAAUAGGUAAAAUUUACCAUAAAAUAGAUUAAGACAGCAGCAGUGACGUGAGUUUGAAAAAUCAUUAAAAAUAGUAGAGAUAUAAUUAGAUGAUGAAUAAAAUAUGAAAUUAAAGAAUUAUGAGUCUAUUUUCAUAUGAAUGGAACAAAUCAGGUAUAUGAAUUAUAUUUUAUGAGAUGUUUAAAUUUUUGUGAAACAGGGCUAGAGCGAUUUCUGGAUCCCUGUUCUGACAUUGGAAAUUCACCAUAAAUUUUACAAAGAUAAUUAGAAGUCACGCUUUAUAUGUACAGAUUCCUUAUUGAGUCUAGUUUUAUUAGAAAUAAACGGCAUAGCAUUGAAACUCUGUACAGGGAGAUAUCUGAUUCAUAAUACACAGAGGUCAGAGCAGUCAAACCUUGAAAUAAGGGAUACUUUAACUAAUAAACUGUACUAAUUGGCUCAACCAAAAAUUCUAGAAAAAAAUUAGUAAAUAGAUAUAUGAGUCUAGUUUAAGGAAAAAUUUACGGAAUUGGAUUUUGAGUUUCAGAACUCGAGAUAUGAAUUUUUAAGAAACUGUGAUGCAGUUGGAUAGCUUGUCCGAAUUUGUUUAAGUGCUCAAAUAAGUUUAGUAAUGCCUCGUGCUCGACUCCGGCGACAGUCUCGGGUAAGGGGGCGUUACAAGAAUCAUUACUAUUAUUGGUCAUUUCUCUGGCAUCUGCCUAUGUACUUAUUAUCACCUCCAGAUGUAUUUGUAGACGGGGACCAAGAGUAGGGUUAUUAUACGAACUCCCACCAUAAUUAGGAUUUGUAGGUAUCUGCGAUCUCCCUUCACAUUCUAAUUGGUCUUGCUAUCCAACAUUAAGAUCAAAGUCAAAUUCCCAAUGUUGACUUAUUGGACUAACAUUCUGAACAGACUCUAAGUUUGCUAACUCAGCAAAUAACUCAACUGAUUAAGGGUUCUUACUCCUAGUCGACUACCAUAUUUCCAUCAUAGUGCCCAAGUCAUUAUCAUCUAACAGCUGCAUCUCACAAAAUUUGAACAGAUCUGUAGAGAUUGGAAACGUGUAAAAUAAUUUGGACAUUGCCCUUCCACAACGGAUAGCUAUUUUCGCACUGAUAUUCCUUUUUAUUUCUGUCAGCUUCACAUUUUUUUUUGAAUUGCAAACCUACUCUUUGCCUAUUUUAAAAUAUACAACCAAUAUCACCUUCUACAAUUUCACCAUAAAAAAGAACAUAUACCGAAAACACCUCAUUAUUCAUAUUCAACAGAAUUUUUGAAAUCUUCUACUGAACACAACAAUUUCACCAUUCUACAUAUGCUAGAGAAUCAAGAGGUGGCGCCAUAUAUAAAGAAUGGCUCCACCAAAAUAAAAUAUUAAAUAUUAAAUUUUUAUAUUAGAAAAAUAUUAAAAGUUACACUUGUAAUAAAGUGAUGGAGCCAUUCUAAAUGGCUCCACCAAAUAAAAUAUUAAUUUUUAAAAUUUUAAAUUUAAUUUUAAAAAUCGUUUGAAUAUCUUUAAAAUUAAUUGAAAAAUUAAUAAUUUAUAAAAAUUAUAUUUAAAAUUAAAAAAUAUUUAAAAUAUACAUUUAAAAUAUUAUAAAACAAAUAAGAAAUUUGAAAUGUCAUAUCUUUAAAAUAAUAUAUUUUAGAAAAAUUAAAAUUAUUAUAAAAUAAAUUUUAAAAAUUAAUAUUUAAAAUAUUAUAAAACUAAUAAUAAAUUUAAAAGGUCAUAUCUUUAAAAUAUUUAAAUGUUUUAUAUUAUUAAAAAUAUAUUUAAAAUUUUAAAAAUAAUAUUUAAAAUUUUAAAAAAAUAUAUUUGAAAGAUAAAUAAAAAAACUUUAAAAAAGUAAAUAAAUAAAAACUUAAAAAGAAACAAAAAUGAAAAAGGGCAAAUCAUAAAAUGUGACGUGAAGGAAAAAAAAUAAAAAAUUUACCUUUACCUGUUUUAAUAGGAAAUAGGUGGCAGACAACUAUUUCCUUAAAAUCUAGUGGUGCUAAUUUAUUGAGCUCCAUUAAAAAAAUGUAAAAUUAUUUAAACCCCUUUUGCUUUCAAAAAUUACAAUAUUGCUCUAAUAUUUAAUCAAAAGUGGUGCCAUUCGAUAUGACUCCACUAAAAAAUUGAUAUUUUAAUGUAAAUUGCUGACAUAAUAUGUUAGUGGCGCCAAACACUUUGGUUCCACUAACUUUUACUGUAAAUUUUAGAUUAUUUUCGUAUUUUGUCAAAAAAUAUUUAAGUAAUUAAUUAAUUUUUUAAGAUUAUUUUUAUAAAAAAGCUUAGCUUCCACAUGCCAGACUGUACAUAUUAAAAGGGGGUUUUUUUACUAAUAUAGUUUAAAAAAUAAAAAAAAUACUAAAAUAGUAUAGGGCAAAAAAUAUUGACGAAAAUGGUAUGGAAGGUGGUGCUGCCUAUGGCAGUGGCAUGACCACCCUAGGUUCCACCAUUUUCUGUUAAAAAGGAAAAAAAAAAACAAAAAGCUGAAAAAAAAGAGAUUGUGUGGGUCUUAGAGGCGGCAUUGCCCCAUUAUAAAAUCUAGAUUCGAAAAUUUUAAAAUACAAACAAAUGGACAAAAUUAAGGUUAUUUAUUAAAUUAAUAUAAAAAAAACUAAAAUAAUACAUUUGAAACAUUAUGUACUAAAAUAUUGUAAAAGAAUAAAAUAGGAAAAUAGUAUAUUUUAAAAAAUAAGAUCCGAAAAUUUUAAAAAUACAAACAAAGGGACAAAAUUAGAGUUAUUUACUAAAUUAAUAUAAAAAAAACUAAAAUAAUACAUUUGAAACAUUAUGUACUAAAAUAAUAUAAAAAAUAAAAUAAGAAAAUAGUAUAUUUUAAAAAAUAAAAUUCGAAAAUUUUUAAAAUUUUAAAAAUACGAAAUUUUUUUAUUUUCCAAUGAAUUUAAUUAAUUACAUAUUAUAAUAUAUUUUAAAAUAAUAUUGAACAACUUAUCAUGUGUUUUUUAAUUAUUAUUGCAUCACUGAAAUUAUUAUUAAAUAAAAAUUAAAUUAAAUUAAAAUAUAUUGAACUACAUGCCGGGUGUAUUAAAUAUAUUAUAUUUUAAACCAAAAUAUUUUACUUAUUAAAUAUUUUAAAUUAUAAUAAAAAUAUUUGUAUUUGAGUUGGAUAUAUUUAUUACUUUAAUGUAGUAUAGCAAAAAAUAUGUUGUCGAAAAAAUUACUUGCUAUUUUUUUGUAAUUAAAAGCAAUAUAUAAAAUUUAUUUUGUUAAUAACCGAAAUUUAUUUUGAAAUUACAGGCAUCCCAAUGGCUAUUUUAGUGCUUCUUGCUUCCCGAGUUGCUGCUUCUUCUUGCUUCCCGAGUUGUUGCUUCUUUUUGCUUCCAAAACUAGAUUUUAUAAUGGGGCGGUGCCGCCUCUGUCAGAGGCACAACCAGUGCCGCCUCUGCGACCCACACAAUCCCAUUUUUUUUCAAUUUUUUAUUUUUUUUCAUUUUUAAUUAUUUUUCUUUAACAGAAAAUGAUGGGACUCAGGGUGGUCAUGCCAUUGCCAUAGGCGGCACCACCUUAGUCCAUACCAUUUUCGUCAAUAUUUUUUGUCAUAUAUCAUUUCAGUAUUUUUUUAUUUUUUUAAAACUAUAAUUGUAAAAAAACCCUAUUAAAAGGUCACUAGCUUCAACGCCAUUCUUGAUGUUACCAAGUCCCCUGUAAGAAAUUAAGCCUCCCCUAAAUCUGAUUCCAUCUAUAUCCAAGUAUAUUCAUCGAAAAUUCGUCGCACUUUACUUUUAUCUUUUCCAUUCACACAGCUCUAAUACCUUCUUUAUCUAGCUCUGAUUUGACUGGGAAAAGAUUUCUUUCUUUUGGUACAACAGCUUAUUCAACAAUCCACUGUCACGUCAAUGUCAGAUCCUAUUAGUAGUUGUAAAAGUUGCCUGCUUAAAGAACUAGUUAAUUAGUACGAGUAACUUUGAGAAACGGCUCCAAAACCCCGUCACAAAGAUUACUAGACGUUGAAGUCUUGCAUCAUAAUUUCAUCGCCAGAAUAAAAAGUUAUAACCAAGCAUGUCAAUAAUUAAACACUGCUUAUCUUCCUACUCAGGCAUGGAAUUAAUAGACAUGUUACAAAGGAAUCAAAUAUCAUAUUUUAUUAAUGGAUUUUCUAGAAUUUUAAAUCAACAAUCGACCCCUUUCUAGUUUGUUUAUAUAAACCUUGCAAGUCAAUGAUUCCAGGCGUACACAGAAAUCUUCAAACUAAGCUUCUUUUCUCCAUUGCUUUGAGAGGAGUACUGAGAAAGCAGCUUUGUCAUAUUUCUAUUUAUAUAUAUAGCUUCAAAGUGAUGAUACAUGAGACAAUUCAUUCUUUUCUUUCUUUCUUCCAUUCGAAUACCCUCCAAAACAUGCUUUCCAAGAAAAGACCUCGCAUACGAAUUGUCCGAAGAUCCGAUAAAUAUUCUCAAAAUGCUGAGGCCAUUGCCAACAACUAUGAUCUUUUGAUACUGAUUCUAGUUCGUUUACCUGUUAAAUCUCUUCUUCGAUUCAAAUCUGUUUCGAAAACCUGGCACUCUUAUCAUCUCCGAUCCCGAAUUCUCUCGUCACCUUUCUCUCGACAUAUCAGGUCUCAUCAUGUGCAAAUUAAGUUAUCAAGUCAACAAACCUGAAUAUGGCUUCAUCCCUCUUGGAAACAAAUCAUCAACUGAUGAUGCUCCCUCUAAGUAUCUGGAUUUCAUUAACCACCCAUCAGGUUUGAAAGUUGUGCAAUCAUGCAAUGGAUUGCUAUUAUGUAGUAGCUCCCGUUAUUACAACAAUUUCAAUUAUGAUUAUUACAUUUAUAAUCCUACAACCAAACAAUUUGUUACUAUUCCUUUACCAAGUAACCUGCAGAAUGCUAGAAUUGUAUGUCGUUUGAGCUUAGCAUUUGAUCCAACCAAGUCACUUCACUAUAGAGUUGUAUGUGUUCGAAACCCCGACCCAUGGCUCAACAUUUCGGAUGAUCCGGAAUCGGACUAUGUGAGCCAACAAAUCGAAAUAUACUCCUCCCAAACUCGUUCCUUGAGACUCUCCGGUAAAUCUUUCCUUGCCCAUGUCAACACUGGGUUUGGUGGUGAGCUGUUUUGCAAUGGUGCCAUUCAUUGGCUUGGUGCAUGUAACAAUACUUCUUUCUAUUUCAACGCCGAAGAAGAGGAACUUCGAGAUUUGCCAAUGCCUCCAAUUCCCGAUGAUUGGGAAUGCCUUAGGCGGGUUCUGUAUUUCGGGGAAUCUCCAAACCGUUUGCAUCUUAUCGAAAUAUAUCCACCUCCAACAAGUCGAUUCAGUGUGUAUGAGGUUGAGAGUGAUUACUCUGGGUGGUUUGUGAAGUAUAACAUUGACCUUGAUCCACUAAUGGUAAGGACUUAUCGGGAUCCUUCGGAUUUGAACUAUUACGUGUUUUCCAUUUUUUAUAUUGUUAGGGAAGCAAAUGAUGAAGAAUCAUACAUGGUAUUGCAUAUACCUGAGAAGGCUGUUCGGUAUAGUCUAAAAGAUGGCAGCUUCAAGAAAAUAUGUGAUUUGGCUGCAAAUGAAGCUGAGUAUAGGAGCAGCCCUGCUUUGAUUUUAUUGGCCUAUUCUUGUGUUGGUGAAUUCAUUCAAACUCUUAUCUCCUGUAUCACAACAAUCUCGAGAAUAAAAUUUAUUAUUACUUUCCAUCCUACCAAAUUAUAUAUGAAUUUUAUUGCACUAUUUAUUUCUAAGCUUGAAUUUUCAAAGUGGGGUGUGUUUAGCAUUUUCGGGCAAAUAAAAAAAAACAGAUUUGAUGUGACAAUGAGGAGGAGCACGAUGACGCAAUGGACGACGUUUCAAUGAGCAUUUGUAACCCUAUUUAGAGAGUUGACGGAAUAACUUUUGCAUAAUAUUUGAUGAAGAGUUUUUGGAAUACAGUUUGAGGGAGUUUUGUAUUUGGGUUUUGAGUUUUGCUUAUUUAGAUUAUUUUCUCCAUUUUGUACUCUUUGUCCAUGAUUUUUUUACUCUUAACUGAGUUUUUUUCAUGUAAAAUUGAUGUGUUCUAUCUUUUUUUUUUCUUUCAUUGUUUAUACAGAUCGAUUCUCAAUAAGUGAUAAAAUAAAAUUUUAGGUUUAAUCAAGUUCGUUAAUAGAGACUUCCUAAAAAUGUUACAUUCAGCAAAUUCAGCCAUGCUUACAAUUGUCUCCAAUGCUAUCCAAGUAAAAAAUGAAUUGAUACUUUUUUUUUUCCAAGAUUGAAUGGAAUGUGUUAUGGGUAAAUUACAUUAAUAAUUCCUAAACUCUUCUUAAGCUCAAUUUUCGAAAAUUGAGCAUGUGGUCAUAAAAAUUCUAGCUCCAGGUUUGUUGGCUUGUUAAUUCUGUCUCCUUCCUUAGACAGCAAACAGCAUUGUCAUUGUGAUAGUUGACUAAUUGCAUUUUAUCAUAUCAUAGCAAAUCCUUAAUUGUAUAUUCAACCAUAAAUCCAUACAUACACCCAAUGUGUUUUAUGACAAGGCACCCAUGUGCCUCAUUAUCAAUGUUUUUCAUUGGCUAUGUAAUAUCUGACUAAACUUCUUCUCUCCAUUGUGUUUAUGAAUUGCUUGAAACUGUUGAUUCGUGAAGCAAUUCUUUUUUCAAUCCUACUGGGUAAUCGGAUACUCUAUAGUGUGCUCUCCACGAAGUGGCCUCGGAUAGAAUUGACGAGAUCCGACAAACAUUCCCCUAAUGCGGAGGCUAUUGCUAAUAACUAUGAUCUUCUGAUGCAUAUUUUUGCUUGUUUACCUAUUAAAUCUCUGUCACCUCCGAUCCCAAAUUCUCUUGUUGCCUUUUUCUCCGCAUAUCAAGGCUCAUCAUGGAGAAAUCGAGUUCUCCAAUCAUCAAACCUGAAUAUGGCCUCAUCCCUUUUGGAAACAUGUCAUCAACCGAUGAUGCUACUCUCUAUGUAUCUUGAUUUCAUUAACCACCCUUCAGGUUAAAAAUUUAAUGUUUUAGUUAGUAUUUUCUUUUUUAAAAAAUAAGUAAUUUGAUUAUUUUUGAAAGGUUAAUGAUUAAAUUGAGAUUAAAAAAAGAACAAAUACUAAAUUGACAAAAAAAUAUAACCGUUGAAGGUUACACUUAUCAUUAUGAGUUAGACUUGAUUAAAAUAUGCCAUAAGUCCAUAUACUCUUCACAAAUUUGGAAUUUAGUGUUUGUACUUUUAUUUUCAAGAAUUUAGUACUUCUACUUUUCAGAUUUCAAAAUUCAAGUCCAAUUGUUAGCAUUGUUAAUUUUUUUAUUAAAUUUAUUGGUGUAACAUUUUAAAAUAAAUAAAAUGCUCACUUAGUAGCCAUAUAACUACAAAAAUGACAUUGUAAUAAACUUGAAUUUAGCAAAAUAAUUUUAAUAUCGUUAAUAAUUGGACCUGAAUUUUGAAAUAUGAAAGUAAAUGUAUUAAAUUCCUAAAAAUAAAAGGACAAAGAUAAAUUUUAAAUUUUCAAAAAAUACAAAAACUUAUGGCAUAUUUUAACUAAUUUUAAAAUAUCACCUAACAUUUAAAAAAAAUGUGAUAUGUUCACUUAACAUUCUAACUUAAACGCAUAGUAUUGCAUGUAAUUAGUGAAUAGGGUAUGAAAUCAAGUCGAUUUAAAUGCAAUAAUUCGUGUUAAGCUACAAGGACCUUUUUGUAAAUAGUAUAUUGACUGCAGAUAGCAUAUUAAUUAAUAUAUAUAUAUGGGUAAAGCUAAAAAAAAUUUUGAGGGGCUGGAAUUAAUUUUUAUAUUUUUACGAUAACAAAAGUGAAAUUUUACUAUUUUAAUGGCCUAUAUCUUUAUAAUUUGAAAGGUUUAAAUCAAUUUUUUCUCAUUUUUGAGGAGUCAAAGUGUAAUUUUAUCAUAUAUUAAUUUAAAAUUUUUAAAGUUAUAAAAGAACUAAAGUGAAAUUUUUCAUUUUAGGGCGGACUCCACCCAAGUAUAUAUAUAGGAAAUUAAAACUUCAAUAAAAAAAAUCAUAUAUUAUAAAUGGAUUUUCCAGAAUUUUUAAAUCAGCAACUGACCAAUUCCUAAUUUGUUUAUAAUCCUUGCAAGUCAAUGAUUCUAGGCGUACCCAGAAAUCUUCAAACUACUCCAUUGCUUGAAGAGGAGUAUUGAGAAAGCAACUUUAUCCUAUUUCUACAUAUAUAGCUUUAAUGUGUUGACACAUGACACAAUUCCUUUUCAAUCUUAUUCAGUAUUCGAAUACUCUUUAAAAUAUGCUCUCUAGGAAGAGACCGCGGAUGCGAAUUAUCCGAAGAUCCACUAAACAUUCUCAAAAUGCUGAGACCAUUGCCAAUAACUAUGAUCUUCUCAUACAGAUUUUAGUUCGUUUACCUGUUAAAUCUCUUCUCCGAUUUAAAUCUGUUUCGAAAACCUGGAACUCUAUCAUCUCCAAUCCCGAAUUCUCUUGCCGUCUUUUUCCUGACAUAUCGGGCCUCGUCAUGCGGAAUUUGAGUUCUCCAGCCAACAAACCUGAAUAUGGCUUCAUCCCUCUUGGAAACAAAUCAUCAGCUGAUGAUGCUCCCUUUUAAGUAUCUGGAUUUCAUUAACCACCCAUCAGGUUUGAAAGUUGUGCAAUCAUGAAAUGGAUUGCUAUUAUGUAGUAGGUCCCGUUGUGACAACAAAUCCAAUUAUGAUUAUUACAUUUAUAAUCCUACAACCAAACAAUUUGUUAUGAUUCCUCCACCAGCUAACCCGCAGGAUGCUAGAAUUGUAUAUAGUUUGAGCUUAGCAUUUGAUCAUACCAAGUCGCCUCACUAUAAAGUUGUAUGCGCCCGAGACCCUGACCCAUGCUCAACAUUUCGGAUGAUCCAGACUCGAACUUCAUGAGCCUACAAAUCGAAAUAUACUCGUCCCAAACUCGUUCCUUGAGACUCUCCGGUAAGCCUUUCCUUGCCCAUGUCAACACUGAGUUUGGUGGUGGGGUGUUUUGCAAUGGUGCCAUUCAUUGGCUUGGUGCAUGGAACAAUACUUCUUUCUAUUUCAACGUCCAAGACGAAGAACUUCGAGAUUUGCCAAUGCCUCCAAUUCCCGAUGAUUGGGAAGACCUUAGGCGGUGUCGGUAUUUCGGUGAAUCUCAAAACCAUUUGCAUCUUAUCGAAAUAUACCGACCUCCAACAACUCGAUUCACUGUGUACGAGAUUCAGAGUGAUUACUCUGGCUGGUUUGUCAAGUAUAACAUUAAUCUUGAUCUACUAACAGCUGCAUAUCCAGGAAUGGUACGGACAUAUUGCGUUCCUUCGGAUUUGAAUUAUUAUGUCUUUUCGGUUCUUUGUAUUGUUAGGGAAGCAGAUGAUGAAGAAUCAUACAUGGUGCUGCAUAUACCUGAGAAGGCUAUACACUACAAUCUAAAGGAUGGCAGCUUCAAGAAGAUUUGUGAUUUAGAUGCAGAUGAAAAUGGUUAUAAGGGCAGCCCUGCUUUGAUUUCCUUGACAUAUUUUUGGGCUCAUCAUUUCAUCCAAACUCUCUCUCGUGUAUGAAGGAUAACUUAUUACAUAGUAUAUAUAUUUAUAUAUGCAUGUAUGCACCUAUAUAUACAUAUAUGCAAAACAAACAGAAUCUUAGAUAUUAAAGGCAUUACAUAUCAAACUUAAUUGCAUAAUUUGCAAUUAAUGCUACAAGAAUGCAUCCAUAUCUUUUUUCCAUCAAUUCUAUAGCUGUAUGAAAUAAACAAAUGCUAGCAAACAGUUUUACUUUUAACUGUGAUAUAAUGAAGCCUUUACAAGCAUAUUAGAUUAGCACGAGCCACCAUUAUUCCUUUCUUUCAAAUAUUUUCCCUCUUUCCCCACAUCAGCUUCUUCCCAUUUUCUACCUUCUGACUGAAUCAGCUGAGCUACUCUCCAAUGGGGUGAACAUGAAAUUCCCAGAAAACAUGGCUUCUUUAUCUGCAAAUUAAAUCCCAAAUUUUAGGUUAAGUUUGAAGACAUUGGAUUCAACAUCAUAAACUCAAAGUUCCCAAUAAAUAAUCACCGUCAAUUAGUUAGUUGGACUGAUAAAAAAUAGCCUACCAGUUAACGAGAGGCAACUGACUUCAUGACAAACAUACCUUGCCAUCGCCUGCAGACAAAAACAUAAAUCAACUCAAAAUAAACUUAUGUUGUUCAUACUGUAUUUCAUGUUAUGAGCACAGUCGUUCUUCUCCAAGAGGUUAAAAUAUGGAUGCAUUGGCAUUUCAAAAAGGAACUAAAGAAAAUACCUAACGAACCAACACCACAUCCUACAUAACUGUUAAUUACUAUGGCAUAAAAGAAGAGAUCGGAACAUGCCUGGACUGUACGUAACGCGGCAGCAUCUGGCUUGGAUGUACCAUCAUCAGAAAAGAUAUUCCUGCAAAAUUCCAAACCAAUGUUUGAAGCUGAGUAAAUUCAUUGCCAAAAAUGUACACCAAAUGGUGAUGCAAGUAAGAUCAGGUUUGAUAAGCCUCAGAAGGACUGAGAGUGGCUACAACUUCAUUGCACCACCCAAACUGAAAAAGGGACCAAGUCUAAUUCUUACAUCAUAAUUUCAUGGCUAUCCACCGGGAAUCACCAAGUUUCAGUAUAACAAAUUACACAUCUAGUUACUGUAGUUCUAAAUGGCAGGCAUAUAAAUUAUUAAACAAAACUAAUCUUCCUUGCAUAGGCACAGAAUUAAAAGAGAAGUUGCAAUGAGGACAACCAUAAAUGACCGGAACAAGUUCCAAUAAAGAUCUUACCUCCAUAUAACCUCUGUUAGCUCCUCGUGUGUAGCCUCCGGAAGCAAGGCAGCAUCAUAAGCAACAAUAUUUCCAUAGAAUAUCUUCUCCAAUUCUUUCAUCCAUUUCGUCAAAAGUAAGUUAACCUGCCAUUUCAAAGAUAAUAAAACUUGCUUCACAACAACUAUUCAAGUCUCAAGCGAUAUAACAGCAGAUCAACAUACCCCAGCUUUAGAUACUCUGAGCUCGACAUCAUGAUUAUAAAUCUCAUAGACGUAUUGUCCUAAUUCAACACCAUCUUUUCCUUCAGCUUUCAACCGGCGUAAGCAGAGCCACAUAUGAAGUACAAGCAGUGAAAACGUCAUCCUGAAUGUCUUCUCCAAGUUAAAUACUGCACAUAAAAAAGACCAAUGUUACUGCCAACAAAAGGAAAAUCCAAAAAUUUAAUAGAAGUUUUCAUAUAUAAAAAUAAAAGAGGAUAGAGACCUUCAUAAAUAGCAGGUUUAUCAACUUGGGAAAGGACACGCCUAUAUAUAACAUUAGCCCCUCGAAUUGACUUGCUUUGUUUACUAUAGAAAAGCAUCAUCUUGAGAACAAUACGCCUAAUGCCUUCAUACUUUGGGUCUUCCACUCUAAGGGGAGAAUCUGGGGCCAAAGCCAAUGAACAAGGCUUAGACCAAAACAUUUUAUCCAAAUUUACCUAUUCAAAAAUAAAAACCCAGAUCAUAAACAACCCAAUAAAAGAUCUUGAAGAGAUGUAUUGGUGUAAAUUCAUAUUGGGUAUAUUUUUUGAGAGAAAAUAAAAGAUGUUACCGAUGAUUUGGUAGGUGGGAAGGAAUCAGCAGGAGCAGGUGCAGGUGCCACAGCUGCAUAGCUUUGGUGAUGAAUCAAACUGAAAUCUUUGCCUAAUUCAAUGGAAUUGAAUGAUCGUAGCUUUGAGAGAUGGGAUAAAGCUCUGCUCCAUCGAGGUAGCAUUUUUCUUUUUGAGAAAUGAAAUCUGAUUUCCUUUUACAAUCCAAAGGGGGUAUUGCUUCAGCUUUCAAAGCCCUAAACCCUCGCUCACUGUAACUGAGCCACACUCGAAAACGAUAAAGAGGAAAAGUCAGUAAAUCGUGCGGUGCAUAUUAACUGAUCAAACAACCUCGAUACUAACACCAGAUUUAUCCACGUCACCCAAAAAUAUAAUAAUAUAAACGUAUAAAAUAUAUAAAAUGUAAUAAUUCAUAAAAAAAAUCAGAAUAAGAAUUUUCGUUAAAUUUGACAAUAAAAGUCUACUUUGUUAGUUAAUUUUUUUUGUGUGUUUAUUUUGGUAUUUAAAUUUGACAAUUAAAUCUAUUUUUAUCUUUACACAUGAAUUUCGUCAUUUGUAUUUUGUUACAUGUAUUUUUUUGUUCACUUAGAUACUUGAACUUAGUAAUUAAAUCCAUUUGAGUCUUUAAACAUGAUUUUUCUCAAAUUCUGAUUAUAUGACCAUCAUUCUUGAAACAUAAUAAAAUUAAUCAAUUGGACUAAUUAGAUUAAGAAUUAACCUAUAUACUAUUCCAAACAAAAAGGCUAAACUGAUUAAAAUAAAAAACUAGUCAAAACCAAUAAAAAUCGAAAAUGAGACAAAAAUCAAUUGUUAAACAAGUUGAACCAAUUUAAUAGUUUUCUAUUUUCUUAUUUUUAUGAAUCUUAAUUAUUUAUUUAAUUAUUAUUACUCUAAACAAUUAAACCAAUAAAAACCUAUCAAUUCAUGUCAUCAAUUGAAAAGCUCCGAUAUCAAAUUUUCACAUCAUAAAAUUUUUAUAUUUUUUAAAUUUAAAGACAAAAAAAAUCUAAUUAGCAGAUUAAAAUACCAAAAAACAGAUACUAAAAUAAAUUUAGAGGCUAAAAGUUGAUAUUAAAUCAAUACUUAAAUUUUACAAUUUAGCAAAUAUAAAAAUUAAAUCAUAUGAUAUUAUAAAAUUUCUUUAAAAAAAAUUCAGAUGAUUUUGACACAAAUCUCUAAAUGCUAAUAUUCAACUAUUACUGGUAUCUCCCAUCAUAAUUUGUACCUUUUAUUCUUCACUCCCACCAAAAGAUAAUUAAAGACUGCAUCUGGAUUAUGAUGAAUUAUGCAUCAUAAUUACUCUUGUUCAUACGAAGUACAAACAAACAGCUGCAAAAGCUUCAUAACAAAAUUAAAAAAUUAAUUAUAUUACAUUAACAAAACUGUCAACACUGGUAUAAAAUAAAUGAAGGAUUGGCCAAGGCGUACAAAAUUUGGCAGGUACUAUUUAACCUUUAACUUAAGCUUCCUAUAGUAACUAGUUUUAAACUGAAAAUUGAGACUUGCUGUCUUGCAUCAUUCAACCCUUUUCUCAUACAAUGGUUUUUCCCCGGAUAAAUGAAAAAUGGGGUAAUGGUUUACCAUAUCCUGACCGUCAUCAGAGGUAUUCGCGAAGGUUUUCACCACUCAUAGUCUCCAUCUCCUUGAGGAUAUCUUGUGCCAAUGAUUUGACCGGUAACUCCACAUCUUCCAGCAAUUCACCUAGGAAGGGGAUGGUUUCUGGUAGCAGUACCAAAUAUUCUUCUUUUAAUUUCUCCAGAAAUUCCCUAACUAUUCUCAACCCCAACACUCGAGCACGCAUCUUCUCACUCCGUGUUUGCAUCAAUACCUGUCGUAUUUGAAAUAACAAUACAAGUCAACGUGGAAAUACACAAAAGGUUUGAAAUGAUCAGCUCUUAAACAUAUUAGAUGAUAUGAGGGCUGUGCAACAAGGUAUCAAAAAGACUGCAAUUCCGAGCUCAAAAGGGCAAAAAGGAUAGAAAACCACCUCGUGGUUCAGGGGCUUCCACAGCAGGUCAGUUCCAGCAGUAACAGCCAUCUGACCUAUGCAAACAACCAGCAAGUCAUCUACUUCCUUCAGAGACGGUACAUCGGUUUGCUCUUCAACGGAAGUUGGAGGCUCAAUGACAAGCUGAGAAACAAUGGGCUUCAAUAAAACCUGCAUACGAAAUUCAAAAUGUUCCAUCAGUUAAAACAAUUAGAAUCAGGAUAAGCAACCCUAACCAAAUGAAUUAUCAAAGCCAUUCAAUUACCCAUAGUUUCUAAAUAAGAUGAUACACAAAGAAUGCUCAGUAAAUAGAUGAAGGGCAACAUAUACAAGAUAAAGGAAUUGUAGGCAUCUGAAAAGUGAAAUCCUUAAGAUUUCACAAGUCAAUUACCCAAGGGUCACCUAGAUAUGAGAUUGAAUACAUACAUAUAUGUGUGUGUAUAGUUUUAAGGAAUAAUUUAACAUAUACCUACACUUUAAUUAGAACCAACUCCAUGAACUAUAAAAACUACAAUUAAGAAAAUAAGAUUUGCUAACCUGAAAGUUUGAUGAAUCGAGAAACUUCUGCCUUCCAGUGUCAUGGAGAAAACAUUUGUGUAGUGAUGAUAAGAUCAAUGCCCUAAGAUGCCAACUUUUAAGUGAUACGCAGCCAUUUACAAUAUUCCCAUCCUCCUGAACCUUGGGUUUCUUUUUCUUCCGUACUAAAUCAGAAGCUUUAUCUGCAGAAUCACUAAGCAGCUGAACACAACUCUUGACCAAGUACUUGAAGUAGGGGACAAACAAAGACCUGCAUUUAGGAAGAACAGCAUAUAACUCUAAACCAACUGAUUAAUAAAUAAUAAGCACAUAUAUAAAAGCGAGUUGUUCUAAGCAACAGAGAACUAUUGCAGCAUUUCUACGAUAAAAGGAGUUCCAUGUCUGAUAUGACCAAGUCCUGAAUAGAACAGCACGUUAUCAAAUUUGUGUAUCUGAUAUUUUCAUGCAUCAAUUUUCAUAACCAAAAUGUACUCAUCUAGGACCACAAACCUUCAAUAUAGAAAUGACAGAAAAAGUAGAGAACAGAAACGAAUUUCGAAAGGAAAAUCGUUGAGAUCUGGAACUGAUGAAGAUAAAGGUGAACCACACCACUAAGAAGACAUAUUCAGAAAUUAACCAUAACUCCGCAUCAAAUAUGAAUCAGAAACUUGAGAAAAAUUUAAUUACCUAUGAUUCUCCACAAGUUUAUUAACCAGGCUAUAGAAUGAUAUAGCCCUGUCAAUAUUCAUGGUUCCACUACCAGCAACAUCUUGAAACUCUGUCUCGGCCCACUCAAUACUCUUGGCAAAAAGAGGUUUAAACAUAUUCUCUGUUAGUUUCAUUGUAAGAGAAAUUAUCGCAUUGAUAACGCUUUUUUCUACAGCAUCAAUAGUUUGAACUGUAACAGGAUGUUGCCGACGCAAAUCAAGAGCAACCAUGCAUUGGUCAAAAAUCUUUCCAUAGGAACCACUAACUGAUGUCCUAUCCAUUUUACUAACUAGAUCUGCUAACAUUUGGAAAGCAAUCACCAAGCUUGAAUCUCCAGAUUUAACAGCACCCGAGUAUAUCUUUAGCAAAGGCUGAAAAGUAAGUCGAACCUGGAAACAAAAUCAGAAGAAAUAGUAACAAGGAUUAGCAGGCAGAAUAAGUGGGAGUUUCCAGACGGAGAGAAAGAGGGGAAAACAGAAACUGAAAAAAAUAAUAACUAAAUGAAGACUUACAGGUAUCUUAUCAGUCAAGAGCUUUCGCACUAAAUCAGCUCUGGUUUUCAGCUUUAGAUCUGAAGCUGACACAUAUGCAGGAUGAAGUACCAUUAGUUCUAUGAUAUCUCCAAGAUAUGGGUUUAAAAAUCCCCCAAGCUUCUCAACAACUGCUUCCAAAGUUAUAAGAAUAGACAGCAAAAUGGAAGUAGAUUCAUCACUUCUGCUUUCUAAAUUGGAACUCACAGAUAUUCCACGAGACUUCCGAAUAACAUUUUCCAUCAUACAAGGAAGCUCAGCCAGAGCCUUUGGUCCAAGGACAUUAACCAAUGUGCCAGUUGUUUUAAGGCAGCUGGAAGAGACAGCCAUGUUGUCUGAACUGAUGCCUUUCGUAACUAAUGCAAGGCACAUGCCAAAGACUGAAUGAUUAGAAUAAAACCUCUGUGCCAGGAUAUCCAGUGUUGAAAGUGCAGCCAGUUUCAAUGACACAUUUGAUUCAUCAAUAGAAUCAUCAACUAUCUGAACAAUUUCUGUACACAUCUUCUGAAAAUAUUCAAGAGCAGUAUCAUCCAAAUGGAGCUCAUAGAUAUUUGAAUUUGGAUCCAGAUCUCUUUUUUCCUUGCACUUUGACUUAACAGAGACAUGGUCCUUAAGUGUUUCACAUAAUAUCUCGAGAGCCUGUUUGCAAGUACAGCUUAUUGGUUAAAUAAUAAGCUCAUUGUUAAGAAUUUAGAACAGUAUAAAAGUGACCAAAAACAACCAACAUUUUGGGAUACACUGUUACAGAUUUGAAUUGUGCAAAAUUUUAGGCAUAAAACACAAACUUGCACCUCGUAAUGGAAGAUAUCUGAGUCCCAAAAAUCCAAAUCCCCAAAUUUAAUAGAAACAGAAAAUUACUGAAGUAGCCACAUUACCUUCUUUCUCACAGUGUUAUCCGCAUUGCCAAGUAAUUUGGUGAUGUAUUCAAAGCAUGUGGAAGGCAUCAUACUCAUUGUAAUUGUCUUCAAUAUAGCAUGCACACAUGCCUUAAAUUCUUUCCAACUUCCAACUGGAAUUCCUAUUUGCUUUCUUCUUGCAUCAACAACUUGUGAGACAAAGACAACCUGCUCUACAAGUUCUCCAAGUUUUCUCUGCAAUAAGCAAAACAAUAUUCAUAUCCAGAUAAUGCUUCUGACUACCAUAAGAAUAAAAUGAGAAUCAGAAAACACAUAGAGUCAGCUAAUUGGUCAGGCAAACGAGUUAGAAAGAUAAUAGAUUUUAAUUUUCCAAGUAUAAGAAUUAAGAAAUUUUACAAAAUAAAAAUAAUAAUAAAAGAUCAUGAAAGUUACAACCAAAUUAAUGAAAUGAAGCAUUCUAAAUUAAAUCAUCCACCUAAAAUAGGCUACUAUCAUGUUACAUGGAUUCCAAGUUGUGAAUCGGAAAAUGCAUGCAAGAUCUAACCCACCAUAAUUGUGUAAAAGGAGUAAUGCUGACAAGAAUUUAUCCUUUCACUGAAUAGUUCAAAAGUGGCUUACAAAGACUAAAAGAAAUGAUCUUCACUCAUGGAUAUAAAAAGCAAAAACCAACCAACUUCAGAGUUAUUGACCUCAAUUGGGUGAAUAAUUGGCUCAACUUGUUCAUAAUUGAGUAAACCUCGAGUUUAAGUAGCUCAAUUAACAAGUAUUCUAAUACUCAACUUUUGAAUGUUAGUGAGACGCAUGUAUAUUCUUAAUUGAGUUCAUUCUUCAUGAUAAUCAAACUAACUAGUGCCCAGCUCGAAGGCAAGGAAAAAGCUUGGUUGACCUUGAGCCUUACAUUCUAUCACUUCGACUCGAUAUACCCCUAUUCAAUCUAUCCACAACUUCUAUUCAAUUAGAUACACAGAUUUUUUGAACGAAUAGCAUAUAGUGUCAAGUAAUUUGUCAAAAAUGAAAAAUGAAAAUAUUUUUCCAUGGUAAAAAAUGAACAGGGUUAGUCAUUAUAUAUGCACAUGCAUGAAAAUCUGGUGAAACACCGAGUUCGGUCUGCAAUAUAUUGGCUAACUAUAAAGGACGAGAAAUUCUAAAAAGCAUAUGGGCUUAUACCUGGAUGCUAUCUGAGUUCUCCCUAGAUUCAAGCUUCAAUACAAAUUCUGGGUCUUGAAAUUUGUAUAAAACAAAAUGCAUGGCAAAGAAGAAUUGCAUAAACACUUCUUGAGUGAGAUCAUUCGGUCUCAUUACUUGAAGAACCUUUAAUAUAGAAGGAAGCCAAACCCGGCACGAGUACUGCCCACAUAUUUGUAUGGCGAAGGCAUACUCCCAGUCUUGGUGUGCAGAAUACAAGAAACUAUCUGAAGAGUAUGUAUCUGUAAGGCAAGAUAGUCCUUUUCUUGAAACUAAUGAACGCAAAAGGAGGACAAACAAUGAAGACAAACUAUCAAUCUCCCCCAAAAUCCUGCAGAAAACGAAGUUAAUUCAAGCAAACACUGAAAAUAACCAACUGAAAUAAUCAAGUUCUAAAUUUAGAUGAUACCUCAAUAAGAAAGCAACAAUCGACAGCCUUCUAUGGUCAGCAAUUUCAGGCAAUAUGUUUACGAAAAUCUGACCAAAGCCAAACUGGAGUGUUAGAAACAACAAAUCCAGAUAUAGAUAAACAAUGAAAAUAUUUAAGAUACAAUUACCUGAAGCAAGUUUUCUGUAUUGUUGGCCUUAGACAGCCAGCAUGGAACAACAGCAGAUAUAAGAUCUUCAAACACAUGUUGAGAAUGGCUAUCAAUCUGUAGAUAGAUGUUCAGAACAGAAUAACUUGUAAAUAAAAAUUCAUUUAAGAAUGCAAAUAAGGUUUCGAAAAAUUUGAAAUAAUUCAUAUUCCAAACAAGGUGAGUUUUAAAUUGAUGGGAUAACAACGAUUUGCAUUCAAGACGUUGUCCAGGAUUUCUUUAAAAGUUAGUAAAGUAUAAUGAGAAAAUUGACUAAUUGGAUACAGUUCAAGACAUAUAAAGCCAAAAGAUAGUUUGAUAAACCUGUGAGACUGCAGAUUCUCCAAUAACCAUAAGUAUAUCCAGUAUGUGCUCCAAUAUCCUAUUAGGAACUAACUUUGCAAUAGUGGAUAACAGGGUAAAGACAUGAUUGCGGGUUACUCCAUCCUUCGUCAAACGAGCACAAUCAACCAGCAGUUUGAUAUCAAUUUUAUCCAUUAUGCCAUCCUGCCAAUGACAUAGGUGUUAUCUAAAAUCAAUAAAGAAAAAAGGAAAUGAAACAAAGGGAACUAGAUGCAGUGUAAUGUUCUACACUUUCAACUGCAGAACAGUAGGCAUACCUUCAGGGAACUACUUUCAUCCAUGAAUGAAGCAAAAAUAUCAUCCAGAAUUAACAAUAAUGUUUUCUGUACAUCAACAAUUACAGUAGACUUCGACUGAGGAACACCAGAAGUUUGUAUCCAACUUCCAUUUUGAGCGAGAACACCAUGUACCCAUUCAUCGGAGAAUGCUUUCCUGAUAAGCUUAAAUAAGGGACCGACAAGGAACUGCCUAAAACAUUUAACAAAAUACAAUUAUUUUGUGGAGGAAUUAGACUUGAUUGGAAAUGGCAGGGCUUCAAUUUUAAACAAAUAUCACAAAAACAAAUCGAUGGAAGUAGAGAAAUAUCAUUUGUAGAAGCAGACCUGUUUGAUAUGUCUUUCUUCAGAAGCAACACAUCAAGAAGGGAGCUAAGAAAAUAGAGAGUCUGUUCUCCUUUAAAAACUAAAUCAUAACCAGGCUUUGGAUUAGCGGCUGGUUUCUUUUUCUUCUUUCCAUCAGCUGAAACAAUUGCGACUGGAUCCUCCUUACAUACAAGAUCAAGCAUCUCACCUACUGUAGACGAAGCAAUCUAUAACAUCCAGAAGAAUGCAGCUGAUUAUCACAGUUGCCUUUAUACAUCAAAAAGAACUCCAAGAGGAACCUAUUGUCUAAUGUAAAAGCUACAGCAUGGGGAUAAAAUUUAUCACACCCUGAUCUUGGUGUCAUGAAAAGUUUCAAAUUACAUGAUAUUUUAACCAAAACAUCUUUAAACAACUAAAAACACAUUCAGGUUCAUUUUGGUCCUUCAUUACUGUACUACUGAUAUAAAUCAUGGUUGCCGUGCAAAACCAAGAACUUAUUGCACGUACAUUGCAUCAAGCAUAGGACAAACUGUAGAAAACUUCUAAAAUCUUUUCCAAACAUAAAUCUGACAGAUAUGCAAAAUUUAGAACUAGAUCAUCCUAUAUUUUUAAACAACUUCAAGAUUAAUAAAAUAUGAACUAAGAGCUUAGAAGAGCAAAUACACUGGCACUAACUAUACAUACUAUUCAAGAAAUAUUUAUAUGAUUAAUCAAAAGAGAAAGGAAAGUGCAAUUGUAAAGGAGGGAGAGAGGAACAAACAGUUAAACGUAGCAACGCAUCUCUGGUUGCACUAUGAAUAUCACUAUUACUGUUGCGAAACAAAAGCACUAGCUGUCGAAACAUUUGACCCUGACAAAACAAAUAAAAGAAAAUUAAUGAAAAACCAUUCACCCAAGAUGAACUUUGCAAUUUAGUAUUGUAUUGAAAUGAUCAAUAAUAGCCAUCAGCCAUUACACAAACAGAUUGAUAAUAAACAUCUACCUCAUGUAAAUUAUAUAGAUAACCAUCCACUCUAUAGAAAUAUAUCAAGUAUCAACCACAACCAUCCGCCCUAAGUAGACACAAUCAACCCAAAGAACAAACGAAGGGCAAGUAUCAUUUUCACAUCAGGGACAAAGACCCAAAACCGUACAGGAUUAGCUACAACUAAUUGCACAAAGAGAUCGAUAAUGAUUGUGUAUGAAAAACUUUUCAAGGAUAAGCAAACAAUCCAAGCUUUAUCCAUCAGUGAUCAGAAUGUACACACACAGCAUUUCCCAAGUUCAGUUUAACAAUCUAAAAUCUGCAGGAACACUUCCACUGGACAUAUAAUACAAUCCCUCAGGCUUGUCUGGUCAUGGCACAAGAACAUAUAUAUUUGUCCUUUUUCCCCCUUUCAACAUCCUAUUUCAAUUCAUUAACUAGGUAAAACAUUGAAAUUUAAAGUAACGCAUCUCAGAAAAGUAAUAGAAGUUGAUAAUAAUAACCUGUGCCUCAUUUGUCAAGCCACUGUAGAAUUGACUGUUUAGCUUUUGUAAAACAGUAAUACAGGAUUCUUUAAUGGCAGGGUCUUCUGGAGACUUAGAAUCCAACUGAAACAAGAAAUAUAAAAGCUUUGGAUUAAGUCCUGAAAUCCUAGUUCAUAGAUACAAGUUGAGAGGAGGUUCAUACUUGCAAUGCCUUGAACACAUGUUCAGAAAACUGUCCACCAAGAGACGAGGGCAUAAUACACAUCUAGGACAAACAGAGGACAAAAUCAUCAUUGAACAGCUAUGAUCAUAAAAUCAUACUAAAAUUUAAUGAUAAAAAAUACAGAGAUGCAUGCCUAUCUUAAAGCCAUAUAAGACAAACCAACUAAAACCUUACCUCCAAAAGCAAGCACAGGAUCAUAAUUUCAGUUUCUGACAACUUGAGGGAUGAGUUUUCCAGUUCAAAAUAGCAUUGACUUCGUUUUCUCAGAAGCAGAGAUAAUAAUGCCUCAAUCUCUUUAACAUGCAGAAUAGCAUUGCCUAAUCCUUUGAGCAAAGAUAAAACCUUUAGCUGCUAACAAGAUCAAACCAAUAAAAAAUUUUCAAGUCAUUAUCACUCGUCACACAUGAAAAUAACAAUAAUCCCUGAAAUAAUAUCACUUAAACAGGAAGGAAAAAUAGGGAACAGCUAAGAGGGCAAACCUUUCCAGAUUCAGAGAGAUUUAGAGCAGAACUUAAUAUGAAAGCCAGAAUUUUCUCCUUUGUAGAUUUAUUAAAUCUGAAAUAGAAUAUUUAAAGAGAAAAAUAUAUUAUUAAAAACAGCAUAGCCUGAUUAUACAAUUUAACACAUGGAAACAAUUAUAUGUUAUGAAUAGCGCAGAACAAUUUAGCUAAAGACAACAUAAAACUCAAUUUCGUGUAUCAUGACAUUAUUCUACCAGAUCUAUUGAACACAAUAGAUGCAAGUACAUGUAGCAAUCGAAGAUUACAUUUACAAUGCAAACUGUUCACUCCACUGGGGGAAAUAAACUAAAGGAAUAUCAUUUUUAGUGAAUAAGUGAAGCCAUUUCAAGUGGUACAAUGACUAGGCUCUAAUUAUUGUAAAUGCCCAGCAAUAAAUUAUAUUAGAGAAGAAACAAAGCAUGCAAAUACCUUUGCUCAAUGUUUGGAGAAACCAAAAUGCUCUCACAAGACGAGCCAAGCAAACAUGUCAAGAAAGAAGGGAGAAAAUUCUUGUCAGAUAAUAUAAGCCUCUUUUGCUGAACCAUCAAGCCCAAAAGUUCAUCAAGAAAAUGGCUCCAAAUUGCAGUAUUUCCUGUUAAUAAUCCAAUUCCAGUUAUAGUUUAAAUAAAAAGGUGAAUAAACAUAACCAUAUGAAACAAAAAUAUCAUCCAUCAUACCAUUUUUCUUGCUGGAGAAGUCCACUUGACACCACAAUUUAUAUAGCUUUUCAAUACAGUCCAUGGCAGCAAUCCUAGUAGCCUGAAAACAGGAUCUCACAUAUUUAUACACAAUGAAGAACUCAAAAGAAAAGGGAGACCAUCAUGAGCUCCUAAGACAAGCCAGCAUUUAAAAAUUUUGAAAACUGGUGAAACCUGAUUGUCACUGGUGAGUGGAAGAAGAAGUGAGGGAAAUUCAGCCAAAAGUUCAAAUGGUAGUCUAUCAUUUAGCUGAGAACAGAGAAAUGAGAAACAAUGAAGGCUCUCUACUUGAACUGCAGCAGGAACUUCUGCAAAAUCAAUAACAGACAUAAGCUUAAGCAACAGUCUCUUCAAAUUCAUUUUACAUUGUAACUUUGCAAGGAUAAAUGCAUGUUACCCUUGAAAACUGAAAAAGAACAAGGGGAAACCAGAAAAACACCUUCUGCUGUAUAAAACCUAGACAGAAAUCGAACAGGUGAAACUUUGCACUUUGUAAGGAAGCCAUGUAGAUGCUUCUCAACAAGCUCUUGAAGGUGCUUCUUGAAUGCAUCCUUCAAACUAGAACCAGCUACAAAGAGGAAGAAAUCCUGAACUCGGGUAAUACCAUUCUCAUUGUCGUCCUAAAGAGAAAAGAAAAGGUCAGGGUGACGCAACAGAACCAGCAAAUCAGCAACAGAAAGCAAGAAAAGUAUCACCAACCAGAAAGAAUUCAGCAUUGACUGCUGAAUCAAGUAACGUCCAGAAUAGGCAUAUAAGAAUAUUCUUAUUUACUGUAUCAACAUCAGCAACAAAAAGCUGAUCUAGAAACUUUUUGCAAUCCCAAUCAAGCAUCUCUUCAUUGAACUGACAAAACAAAAGAAGAAAAUUUGAAUAAUUUGAACAAAAAAGUAAAGAGCAAUUUAACACCAAAUAAUAACAGAAAAAUUGACUUCAACCUCAUGUAGAGAGUUGCCAAGUGUAGACCCAAAAGCUUCCCACUGAGACUUCAGAACCGGAAAGCAAGCAUCAAAAAGUACCAAAAAUUUUCCAUCUAAUAGAUAAAAACAUACAGAACAAACACUUAGUAUAGGUGCAAAAAGCAACAGCAAGGCAAAAGAAAACUUCAGGUAAAUUAUCAUGAGAUAUAUGAAGCAAAGAGUUUAACAAAAUUACAAAGUUUCUUCACUAACAAAUCAAUUUUACAUUAAAUCAGCCACCAAAAGCAAACAUAUUUAUUAGGAUAAAGAAGUAUCAAAAAGUUGCACAUUAAGUUAUCGAUAAUAUGGUAAAACUGAAAUGUUAGCAUAAAAGCAGAAAUCCCAAGACUCAUGCAUUCCACCAAAACAGUAAAGAAACAUACUGUUUAUCAACAUAGAAAAUGACUGCAUCAGAACCAAAAAGAGAAGGGUCUUUGAUGAUUUAAAGUUGUCGCAACUUCUGGUAAGCCAAGGCAUAUACUCAGUAGGUUGCAUCAAGAACUCUUCCGCUAGACUUCUAACAAUUUCCAUAUUAACUGUAUAUACAGUGCCACGCUUCUGCAUUUUCUUCUCAAAUCUGCCAACAGCCUCCGCAUCAACUGAGGAUCCUGACAGUAAUUUCUGCAACUUUUACAAUUUCAAAGUUAUUCAGCACACAUAGAACCUAAUAGGUGAACAAAUAUAAUUAGUAACUGAAAUUUAAAGUGAAAAACAAGUAGACUACAACCUUAGACUUUCAUCUAAAUCAAAUGUUACUGCUACCUCUAAAAUUUUGACAGCUAUUGAUCCCCCAAGGCCAAAAUACAUAGCAAUUUGAUAUAGUAUGAGGCCUUUGCAGGCCAUUAGAGGGAGAUUGUUCCAGUUCCGAAAAUCAAUAUUAAGUCAAGGUAUGACCAAAUAAAACACAAAUCCGAAACUCAAUACCAAUUCAUCAGCCAAAUUAUAUUCUUGUGAUCUUAUCACCAAUGGGUUUUAGGAGGGAUGCUUAACAUACAAUUAAAAGUUGCAGACACAAAAAUGGCAGCCAAUGACACUCUUAUAGCCAAAAGGCCCACGUUUCUUUAUAAAAGGAAGAAGAAAAGAAAGGGAAGACUCACCACUUCCGCCCCAGAUGCAGCUGCAAGUGUCUGGAAAAAUGGCCAUUUUAUUGUCUUGGCCAAAUCCAAAACCUUCAAGCUCAACCUAUGAGUCUGCACACAGGUAAAUUUAUUACAUAUCAAUUAAGAACAGAAGUAUGGCUUAAUAGGUCCCAAUAGGGCACCUUAAGAAAUUAAGUAAUAAAAGCACCUCUGGCAAAAUUAGUAGUAGUGAGAAUAUCAUGGAAGCAACUUCUUUCAAAUAAUCUAUCUGAUCAUGGAAGCUGAGCAUGGCAAUCUUUAGGAAUGAAACAGGAACAUCACAAGACAAAGUAGAGUUAACUGACGAACCUGAAAAUGAAGAGCAUAAAUCAUGAGAAACAAAGCCAUUGCAACUCUGGUGUGCUAAACCCUCACUAUUUCAUAAAUUCAAUUGAACAAAUCCUAGGCAGUGGACAGAAACUAUUACCACUGCUUUUUAUCUAACAUGACCUCAUUUAAUUCACGAGCAAGAAAGAUAAACCUAAGAGGGACUUCACUCAAGAACUUCUGUUACAAGAGUGUCCAAUUUUUAAAUGCCUGAUAAUCUCCUUAGGUCAACCAUAGAGCAUCCACCAUAUACCAAUAUCAGUCAACAAACUCACUCUCUAAUCAAAUAAAACAAAAUCAUUACACAAUGCUAAUCAAGCCCACUGCAGAAUCAGAAGGAAAGUAAGCAUUUUCUCAACUUGUUUAUUUUCUUUUGUUUGGCAACAGAUGUAAAUUGGAAUAAUACAGAAAAACCAAUGAAGAACCUACACUUCUCUGUUUCUCCAGGAAGUUUAGAGGCAGUGGUGGAGACAGUUAAGAUUUCAAAAUUCAACUUACUGACCUAAUGUCAGAAAACUUAGACAUUUCUUAAGCACAUCACGUAAUGCUUCAAGAAGAUCUGAAGGACUAACUACUUCAGUCAAUCCAUCCACAGACAGAGCAGCUUGAACAACUGUUAAAUCAUCAUCAUGAAGCUGGCGCAAUACAGCAUCUUUAAUGACUACAAGCCUCUGCCAACAGAAUCAUGGAACAAACAUCAGUUGAGAAAUGAGAUAACCUAAUGCACCUAAUUUAUAUAGUAAACAUACACAAAAAAAUAUCUUCUUCCAAAAAGAGCCAACUUACUUGCCAACCGAUCUUAAUAAGACUGCUACACCAAUGUCAUACUAAAAGAUAGAACGGGUACAAGGGAGAAAAGUGGGACACUACCAUUUACUUAAGAAAAAGCACAAAAAGGAGAAGAAAAUGUCAUCUUUGAAAAUAGAAAGAAGAAGGAAACACAAAUAAUGCAAAGAAUGAAAGUCGUUUGCUGCAAGAAGGUAUUAAAAAACACCAUAUCCAAAGAAAUUCAGGAGAGUAAAGCAACAACGAAGUAACUUAAAAACAUUAGAAGUAUCGUCCUGAAAAGAAAGAGUGAAUUAUUCAAGCACCAGAGACAACAUUAUCAGAUCAAACUAAAGGCUUGAAGCAGCAAAUAAGUAACAAUGCAGAAACCAAAACUACAUGUAUAAUGCAAAGGAAUUACCUGUGCAUCAAGAGAACUCAUUUUAAGAAUAGCAGAUCGGUUAAGCCCUGAAAAUGUAGCACGUCGAACCUCGGGCUACGUCACAGCACCACAGCAUAAGAAGCCUUGAACGUACAUUCAAAAAGUCCUAAUAAUGUGAUGCUAAAUAAUACCUUAGGAUGGUGUGAUGCAAACCAGAUUUUGGACUCUGAGAAGGCUAUUGAUAAAUCUAAAUUCCCGUCCAAUAUUUUACUCAAAAACUCACACACAGUGUCUUCUUUCUUGGAUUGUACUUUGGCAUCCUAUUAGGAUAAGUAAAGACCAAAAAAAAAACAUAAGACCAAAAGCAUGAAAAAGAUAAAAACAAGCAAAGAUAUGGAGUCAUAGUCAAACUAACCUCUAGGAACUUGUGAACAGCUCCAUGAAAUUGUGAUGGAUAAUUCUUAUUAAUAGUAGCUAAAACAUUCUUGGCCCAGGUUACUGAAAAAUAUUUCACAGAUGAUCAAGAAAUAUGACAUAAUUGGCAUCAGUGGAAAAAGAAAAAAAGUAUGCCUACAAUAGACAUUUAGCCAACGAAGACCAAAGGUAAUAAAAAUAAAGAUAUCAAAGUAAAUAACUAGUACCCUGAGCACCUGUGAAACAAAAUUUUAAGUGAAAGAAAAAAGUUGAUAAAGUAUAAGACACACCUGAUUCAGAAGAUACCAAUUUGCCAUCCCUCUCAGAUAAUUUCAAGCAGGUUAGUAGAAUCUUCGAGACAAUAGGAUCCACUAAAUUCCUCAGAGGAACUGAAUCUAUUACUGAUAUUAAAGCAAGAUGAUAUGAGUCAUCAUAAGAACUGCAAUAAACAAAAAUCAGUUUAGAAGCAGCAAGUAUGCAAAAAAGCAGGACAAGCAGCAAAAACUAAUCAGCUUCACACCUUUGAUCAACCAGAGCUUCCAACAGUAUGGCAAGGAAUCUAUCGAUGUUAAAUUCCUUGGAUAGUUCCAGAAGAACAGCACCAAUAUCCCUGUCAAAGCAUGCAAAAAACCUAGUAAAUUACAAUUUAACCUGGUGACAAAAGACUUGCAGUACUGCAUUAAAUUUCUAAACAAUGUUUAAAAAACAAGGAGUUACUUGAUAUCCCUCAAACUUUCCAAAGCCUUCUUUGGGAAUACAUCAACAGACUGUGACUGCAAAAUUUACACAAACUAAAUUAAGAAAAAUAGAAACUGGAUUGAUAAAAAUAAAACCUAACAUUUAUUGCAGGAUGACUAGAUUCUCAAUUUGAGUGACUCCAACUAAAACCAUUUUGUAAGAAAGGCACAUUGAGCACCUAUUCAAAACGCCCCUUUAAUCAUAUAAAAGGAUCCAUUAAAAGAAAAAAGUAAGUAAUAAGCAUCAUCUCAAGUUAGUAAUUUAACAGAGAUAGAAUGGCUAAAACACCGACCGAAUGAAAAUAUGGAUCAAGCUAAUAUAUUUUUUACAUGUGCAUCAUGAGAAAAUCAACAUGAACUGUUCAAGGUAUGAUACAACAGUUGAAACUUGAAACAUAUAAAUGGUUGAAACUGACACAAAGCUCCCUUGUCAAACAUGUAAACAUGGUAAAAAUAUGGAAAUCAAAUUCACAAAUGAUAUGCAUGUGAACCUUAAACGAAAAAUGCCAAAACCACACCAACAGAAAAUGAUUGAAACUAUUAACUCAUAAAGAACAGGAUUUCAGGAUGAAAUUGUUUUUUGCAAAUUACAUAUUUGGCAGGAGCAGGAUGCUGUUACCUGAACAAGAUUUAUCAAAGCCAUAAGGGCCAACCGAAACCAUUGCAAAUCAGUUGACUCUUUUACAUCUUCCCUAGCAACCUCAGCAACUGUUCGAAUCAAACUAUUUACAAGUUUAGGAGCCAAUGCCACUUUAUUUGCUAGAAAUCCAACAAUCAUCAAAGCACCAGCCUACAUAAAAAUUGUAUAUAAUUCAAUCUAACUACAUCUUCAAAUCAGCAAACUAAAUCUCGUGGGACAAAAACCAUAAAACAAAAUAGAAGGAAUAGUAAAAACAAUUUCCAAAUAAUCACACUUAUGCCUUUAAAAUACCUUGUGAUCAGAACCUCCUUUUGCACCAAAUUGAAGACCAGAAGCUACAAACGGAUGGAUUCUCUUCACAAUGUCACUGUCAAUUGUUGCAACACAACCCAAAACUUCAACAAUAACUGCAGUGCAAAAGCUAACCACUGGUCUUGAUGCCUGAAAUUUCUUUGUCGGAGAUGCCUACAGCAGAUAGUAAUUCAUAUGAGAAUCACCAGGCGAUAGCAACCAAAUUACUAUAUUUUAUACAAACAGUAACUUACAUAGUUGCACAAGGCCUCCAAAACUCCCAUAUCUCGAAUACAUUGUUGCACUAUAACAGACCUAGGAGGCGGUGCACCAGAGGCUUUAACACCAUCCAAAAAUUUCCAUUUACUAUUCCUGUACCAAUCAAGAAAAACAACCCACCAUUUACAAACAACUAUUCGUGAUAACCAAGGGAUGAUAAAAAGAGAAACUCCACAUUUUGCUUACCCUGUGUUGAUUAACUGAACUAUUCGAACAAAUGCAUGCGUGUCAUGGUAUGGAAGCACACAUAAAACCAAAUCCUCAACAUUGUAAACAUGAAUCCUGUAAAUGCCAACGCCAAUCAAUUAAACAUUAUGUACAACAGAAAAAAUAUUAUAAUAAUAACUAAAAAUCAACAUUUAAAAAACAAAACAUUAUCACAAAAGGUGAAAAACUAAAAACAGAACAUUAUCACAGAAGGUGAAAACUAAUACUUACUUGUAUCGACGUAUCAAGUACUCAAGUGUUUUAAGAGAGGCAGAAAGUUGAAGAUGUCCUGAUAGUAACCGCAAAUACGAAUUUAUCGAGGCAUUAAUUUGAUUAUUUUCAUCCACUCCCAUCAAUUCUCUAUCCAAUUCUUUACUCUUGAGAUUGAACAAAUCAAUCUUGCAGUUUCUAAACCUUUCGUCCACGCCUACUAGAAUCUCUAGCCCUAAACACAGCAUGAACCAAUUUUUUUUAACAAAACAUAUCAUAUCAACAACCUUCGUUGAAAGAAAUAAGAAUUACAAAGCGGGAACUAACCUGACAGUGCAAUGUCCAGAAUAGUAUCAAUAUCAAUAUCAGCAGCUUCUUUGGGGUUAAACAAAAUGGAAGGGCGAGUUAAAGGACGCUUUUGAGGUUCAUUCUCAACUUGAAUAAACGUUUUGAUAGCCUGUAGCUGAGAAGCUAUAGAACUCGCCAUUCCUUUCUUGUUUUCCUUUCUUUAACAAUCGAAACGAAAGAGAGAACGAUUUGGGAUUUUUAAGAAUCAAAAAAGAAAGAAAAAAAAAAUGAACUUUCAAACCAAAGAGAAGAAGUAGACUCAAAAACCCUAAGCGCGGCGCCGUUUUCAGGUAUGCUCUGGGGUUUAACCGCCUUCCUGAAAUUCUCUUCUAAAUUUGUGAAGGUUAAAUUCGUCAUUUUAGAGCUGAAGAGAUACUUUUGGUUUUUCUAUUUAGAUUUAAUUGUGUCCAUAUCCCUAUACUCUUCACAUAUUUGAGAUUUAGUCUAAUUAAAAUUGCAAUUUAAAAAGAUUUUAUAAAAUUAUGGUGACUGUGUAUUAUUAUUAAAAUAAAAAUAUUUAAAUCCAACUUAUAAGGAAACUUUUUUUAAAUUUAUAUUGUUUAUUAUUGUUAAAAUAAAUAUAUGACAAUUUAGAAGGAUUUUGUAAAAGUAGGGUGAUUGAGAGCGAAAUUAGGCCUAUCUUCAAUUUUUUCUAAAUCGGCUGAGAAGCUAAUUGGGCCCAAUUGAAAGAUUUGAAGGCCAUUUACUGAAAAGUCCAUUAAACGUGAAAGGCUAUUCAGGCCUACCUACUAUAGAAAUAAAAGACGGGCAAACGUAAACCCACCCAGAAAACCUAUUUUGACUUUAAAAUACCUUUAAAACUAUUAUAAAAUUUAUAUCAAUAAAAUAUAUAAAAGCAUACGAGUUUAGAAUAACUUUUAAAUCAUUAAAGAAUUUACGAAAAAUAUUACAAUUGUCAUAAUUGCACAUUUAGAUAGUUAAUUUUAUCUUAUUUUAAUUUAAAUACAAUUCUAAGCAUAAAAUACGAUAAAUUAAUUAAUAAUGUUUAAUUAAUAAAUGUUUACAUAAAAUUUAGAUUUAAACUGAAUAGAAUUCAUAUUAAUUUAUAAUUAUUAAUUAUAAAAAAGCUUUACCUAAUUACACAUUUAAAUAAUUUAAUUAUUAAUCAUUAAUUACAAUCAUUUUUAAAUUGAAUUUUAAGCUAGAUAGAAUUCUAACCAUUAAAUUCACAAUGUAAUAAUUUAAUGGGUAAACUAUAAAAAUGUCACUAAACUUCAGAGAAUUUUUUCACUGAAUUAUGAGAAAUUAUAUUUUGAUUACUAAAGUUAUCAGCUUAUUACGUUUUCGUCACUCAUCCGUUAAUUAUCAUUACAGCUUUAACGAAAAAGUGAGGUGACACAUUAAUUGAAGGCUUAAUAAUAUGUUAAAUUUUCAUUAACCAUUUUUAUACAUCUAAAAAAAUAUAUUAUGUUAAAUUAUCGUUUAAGUUUAUUUGAUUUUUACUUUUUUGAUAAUUAAGGAAUGGGAUGAGGUUAUUUGGGAUCGAAUUUAAACUCUCAUACCUAUAACAAAUUGUUCUUAUCACUCGUGAAAAUUUAUUAACAAUAUAAAGAUUAAAUUUAUUGUUUUAAUUUUUAUAUGAAUGCAACAACUUUAAUCAAAUUCACCUUCUUCUUUUUUCAUAAAAGAAACCUCCUUACUCAUUUCCUUUUCCUUCCCAUAAAUUUUUUAAAGAAUAUGAGUGGUUUCACCACUAGUAUUACAGAAAUAUAUUAUGACCUUUACUCUUAUUACUUUUAUAUUAAUUUAUUAGUUUAUGGUCAACCUUGAAAUUUUUAAUCUCUUAUAAUUAAUAUAAAAACAAUUAAUUGCAGAAAAAAAAAACUUUAAUGCCUAUGCUUUUCUUUUAUAUUACAUGUUUGAUUAUAUUACUUAAUACAAUUUUAUCCCUAUCAUUUAAAUAUAAAAGUAAUAAUAUAUCUAAAUUUGGAAAAUUUUAAGAGAUGAUAAAUUAUUUGAUGCAGGAUUUUUCACUCUUGCACAGAAGCAAUGGAAGUGGUUGAUGCGGGUAUCAAACUUGCUAACUUCCUAAAAUUUUGUAUAUGUUUAAAAAUUUAAUUAUGUUUACUGUAUUUUUUAGUGGAAACAAGCAGAAAGGAUUUUCCAGUUGCAAAAUAAAUUACUUACUAUUUUCUCACUUGAUUUUUAAUAAGAAAUUGGAUAUUUCUUCGUUAUUCGACUAAUAGUUUAGUUAUGAUUCUAAUUACACGGUAAAAGGUAAUUUUAUUAUACUGCUAAUCCUAAUUUUUAUUUUUAAAAAAAAUUAAAUCUUCUGCAUUCGUAAUCUCUAAAACUGAACAACUUUUAUUUAAAUAAUUUUGUUAAUGAAUGCGAGGAAUCUCUUUGAAUACAUUGUUGUUGACGACUUUAAAUUUAAGAAAAAGAAGAUAAUCACUGUGUCACAUACUGAGACUUUAGCUCUAAUCACAUUCGACCUUAGAUUCAUUUUUUCCGCCAACAAGCCUAAUUUAGCCUUUGAGUUUCGCAUGGGAAAGGCUUGACACAUGUGGAAGUGUUCAUAUUACUCAAAGCUAGCUUGAACAUACAAAAAAAGUUAGGGGAGUCUCUCCUGAAUUAUCCAAUGAUUACAAUUAGUCCUAAUGGACGAUUAAUAUCACAUUUUAGAACCUUCACACCUAACCUUAUUAAAUGUUAUACAAUGGUGAAGAGUUAUAGAGCUUCUGAAACAUUCUACAUGAAUCCGAUCCUUCUUCGGAUUUUUAAAGUGAAUUUUUUAUGUUUGUUGAAUUCCAUACUUGAUGAGGUGUUACUCACAUGCAACGUAAAACUUUCAUGUAUAAGUUAUAAUGUAAAACCCAAGUCUCAACAAAAAUACUUUAAUUUGAUCACGAAAAUUUCAUAAGCUUAGCCCCUACCAGGAAUUGGCUCGCAACAAUGGUCUCGAUUGUCUAAUGCUAGUUUUCUUGUAAACAGAACCACGUGCUAGAUGUUCAAUUUAAUGGCAAAAUUGUCAUGGGAAUCAAAGCUGCAGUCAUGAAGUAAUUAGGAAUUGCUAGUAAAACUAAUUUAGCAAGAGUGACAUACCAACUAAGGAAACUUUCCUAAUAUCCCAAUCAUUGAGCUUUCUACGCACUUUUUCUAGUAUGAACUGUAAAGUGUUUAUUGUAGCACGCCCAUGGAAUAAAUAGCUGUCUACUUACACCCUCAAAUCACCCACUCUCAUGAAACUUAGUAUAUCACUGAUUCUAAUAGUUAACUACUCUUUGAAAUAUAAACUUGAAUCUUGCGACACUGACCUUAUAUCGAGUACAUGACUAACUGUUUUAAGUUCACCUUGUAAAUCAAAUUGUGAAAUCAUUAGACACAUGUAAACUAACUUCACUGGAGUCUAAUUUUCGGACCAAACUUCUUGAUCAAUUAAGUGUCCCAGUCCCUCCAUGCAUAGCACAAAUAACAUAGGGGUAAUGGGUUCCCCUAAUGGAUGCCAUGAAUUGGCCGAAAUGAUUUCAUAGUCUCGCCAUUGUACAGUACCUGAAAAGGAUGCUGUAAGAAUACAACACACGACAAAAACACAGUGAAAAGCAUACAUCAACCAAGGUGUUUUCUAGAAAGUCCCAUCCUACGUUUUUACCAAAUCCAUUUUAAUAACCAUGUAUUGACAUCCUGCCAGCUAUAAAACUGGGUAGAUUUGGUUGCACUAAUUUCGACAUAUGAGGCCGCAAUUGGCAAUGGAUUAACGAUAAUCUUGGUUAUCACCUUGGUUCUUGUUGAUCCAUUCUAACAGUUGAGGAAUUUCCUAAAUUGUUUACCAAGAAAAAAUAUUAUUAAAAUAGUUAGAAAAUUUCUAUAUAAAGAAUCCAGAUGUUUGUUAACUGACUAAUGAUCAUAAGCCUAUUUUGACUUAACCGCUUUCUUACAUCACAGAAAUAAACAGUCAAAGUUAACGACUCCACGGCACUCUCAUUUCUUACUUUUUAUUGUCACUACAAAAAAGAAAUUUCCGCAAAAAUCACAAAUCUUUGAAAAGCUUUUGGAUUUUAAAUUUUCCAAUGGAUUUAUCGAUUUCCAGUCCAUUCCGCGGUGCUUUUCCUGCACCAACUUCAACCUUCAUCCUCAAUCCGAAAUCUCGAUGUUCCCAUUCCUUGAAUUUCUUUAAGCAUCAAAACUCUUACAGCAAAAAUCCGUUUUUUUCCCGCCAAAAAAUACCGAUCAGAGCUCAGGUUUCAGAUCCGGCGGUGGAUGAUGGGUUUGUCAUUGACGAUGUCCCUCACUUGACUGAUUUCCUCCCUGAUUUGCCGGUAUUCACUUCACUUUUCAGCCUUCAUAUUUUAUUUUAUUUUAUUUUUUGCUUUCGUGACUGUUGUUGAUUCUUUUUCCGAGUUUGGAAUUGUUUUAGUUGGAUUAGUGUGGAGAAAAUCAUUCUUGUAAUGAUUAGAAAUUUUGGCUUCUGUUAUUUGGUGUUGAUAAGAAUAAACUGGAAGAGAAAAUAUGGAAAAGAAAAAAACAGUCUAAAUGAACUCUCCUUAUAAAAAAUAAAAAAGAAUUGAGAAGUACUUGAGUUUAAGUGAUUUGGAGUAAAAUUAGAUGAAUGUUAGAGUUAUAAAAUAAUUGAGCUGCUUUGGAAACCAUCAAUGUAAGAACUUGGAAAUUAUUUAAAUAAGAAAAGUAUCAAAAUGAAGAGUCUUUGAUUUCUAAAAAUCUCUCACAUUUGUAGGGACUUAAGAAGUGCAUUGCAAGAGAUGUUGUCACCUUAAAUCUCACUUUGUGAUUCUUCUGACUUCAUUUAUUCAAUUAGUUAUCUCUCAAUGUCACUUCUCUUCACUUCCAUAUGAACUUACAAUUUAUACUGUUGCCCAAUCUGUUGAUAUCCAUGCUGUAUUUCUUCAUCUGAUUUUUUAGGUUUUUGACCGCAUUCAAGUUCUUCCAACUUCUUGGUUUUGUAUUCCUUUUAUACAUAAAUCAUAUCUUUUAGUUGUUUUUUUUUAUUUACUUUUUCUUUCAGUCGUAUCCAAAUCCCUUGCAAAAUAGCCAAGCAUAUGCUAUCGUCAAGUAAGUGCACUUAUUUUUGGUAUAAUUUUCGUAAUAGUUGUGGUCAAUUUCAGUUUCAUGGUCACUAAACUUUAAUCUUCUGUCUUGCCAGGCAAACUUUUGUUCGUCCAGAAGAUGUGGUUGCUCAGAAGGUAGGUAACCAAGACAGAAGAAGAAGAAAAUGAAGAAAAACACAUCCCCAAAGUUGUCCUGAUAAACUUAUUCUAUUUGAUUCAAUCCUACAAUGUCUUAUCUGUUUCCUUUGUCUUGUUUAGAUUGUUGUUCAGAAGGAUAGCUCCCGAGGAGUACAUUUCCGGCGUGCAGGGCCCCGUGAAAAGGUAUGUUUCUUAAGAUGUCAUCAUGCUCUUGACAUGGGUUCAUUAGCCCAUUUAAUGCAUUUUUUAUUGCAGGUAUAUUUCAAAUCAGAGGAAGUGCGUGCUUGUAUAGUAACUUGUGGUGGUUUGUGCCCAGGGAUCAAUACAGUCAUUCGGGAGAUUGUCUGUGGAUUAAACUAUAUGUAUGGUGUUGAUGAUAUACUUGGCAUUCAGGUUAGAUCAUUUGAUAUUACAUUUUCUUCGAUCAUGUGUGGAUUGUUUUUCAUGAACUCGUGUGGUUUUUGCUUAUUCAUUGAAUAUAUCUACUGUUCAUCUUUCUUAUAUUCGUUUAAAAUUUGUGCAUGAACGUAUUUUUUAAAAUCUGAAAUUGUGUUAGCCAUUUUUCUCUUUCAGCAAGAAAGACAAGAUGGUUUUCUAUGGGUAUAGUAUCUCCAUUUGAGCUUAGUUUAAUAGUUUUCAAGUUCAUAUUUUAACUAUUAAUUCCAGAUUGUCUAGGUUCUUACCCAGUUAUUUCAUAUUCAAUUGAUAUUUUACAAAUUCAUGCUAUAGUAUGGCAAUAUGCAACAUGGCAACUAUCAUUCUGAGUUGUUGUUUACUGCUACGAGAAACUAUUCAUGCUAGCAGGACUGCUGCAUGUUUUAUGUUAUUAAUUGAUACAAGGCCCUAAAUACUGGCUCCAUGUCAACUGGAAAAAUAAUUGACUAGUGCAUCUAUUUUCAGCACAUGAUUUUUUUAUUUCACUUGAAAAAUAUUUUAUGGUGGCUCCUUUAAAUGUUCACAUGUUUAAUAGGACUGUUGCUGUGAAAAGAGUUUAAAGAGCUUCUAGUUUUUCUAGAUUCCACAGUACAUUGCGCAGUUCACUUUGUGAUCAUUCGUCUGUUUUUUUUCUUCUUUAUGUAUGUUUCUCGGUUCUCUUAAACUUAAUUCACAUUCUUUUACAUUGAUUGUAUCAAAUUUUAGUUGGUUGCAACAUUGUUUCAUCGUUAUACUGUUGAAAAUUCUAGGGAGGAUAUAGAGGCUUUUACUCUAAAAAUACCUCGACAUUAACACCCAAAGUUGUGAAUGAUAUCCACAAACGUGGGGGCACCUUUCUUCUCACUUCACGAGGAGGUCAUGAUACUCAAAAGAUUGUUGAUAACAUCCAGGACAGGGGAAUCAAUCAGGUAAGCAGUUGCUUUCUUGUCGAUAACAAAGUUCCCUCACUGGUAGGUAGCUUGUCAAAAUCUCUAUGGAUUUCAGGUUUACAUUAUUGGAGGAGAUGGAACCCAGCGAGGGGCAUCUCGGAUUUAUGAGGUAAUAGGUCUUCCAACAUAAGAUCAUUCCUUUUACUUAGGUGUAUCCAUCUUGAUCUUUUUGGAUUUUAUUUUUUCUAUUUCUUACUUUCUGUUGUUUCCUAUGGGCACAUUUUCUUCAAGGAAGUUGAGAAACGUGGUCUUAAGGUAGCAGUUGCUGGCAUACCCAAGACAAUUGAUAAUGAUAUUGCAGUAAGUUCAACCACAAUAUUAUAAUGUUUGAGAGAGUAAAAUAAGGUAGUAUUUUGCAGUGGUCAUAUGACUACCAAAUUUAUUAACUCUACAAAGAAUAUAAAGCAUGCUUUACUUUUCGUAUUUAGACUAGAUCCAUGCACCUAUCAUUUGGGUUUUAGAUAGUCCUAUAUCAAGUGAAUUUUAUAGCUUAUAAAUACUCCCAACUAAGAGGGUACUGUUCCUGGGUAAAAGCAAAUAAAGUGGCCUUCUUUGUAUCUGCAGUUUUUAGAAUGAUUGGAGUGUAAAACAUCUUAAUAAUUAUUCAAUUACGGGGCCUCUUUUUCCAACUGUUGACUGCUAAUUUUUACAUAUUUCUUCUAUUUCUCUUACCAUAUUCUCUUUAUUCUUUAAAGGCCCUUUGCAAGGCCACGAUGGAUUAUAUUUUUCUAAUGCUCUUAUAGAAAUAUGAUUUUCAUAUACAACUUUGAAGGUUGCAAUCUUCUGUUUAAACUGACUGGUUAUAAUUGUGCCUGCCUUAAGGUGAUUGACAAAUCUUUUGGUUUUGAUACUGCUGUUGAAGAAGCUCAGAGGGCCAUUAAUGCUGCACAUGUGGAGGUAGAAAGUGUGGAAAAUGGCAUUGGAAUUGUCAAACUCAUGGGAAGAUACAGCGGUUAGUGUUUUGAACUUUAUAGAAACUACAUGAUAAUUAUGGAGAUAAUGCAUAUUGUGUGUGUGUGUGUGUGUGGUGUGGUGUGGUUGGCAUCCUCUUUAACUAAUACUCAUGCAGGUUUCAUUGCUAUGUUUGCAACCCUGGCAAGUCGCGAUGUGGUAAGGUCUUGGUCCCAUUUUCUAUGCAACUAGCUUCAUAUGAUAAAUACCUCUGAAUUACAUGAAUAUUAGAUGACUAUACCCUUUCUUGUCUUUUUUGUUAUCAUUGUUUAUUUCCCCAUACUUCAAUUUCCCAAGAAUUCAUUCAACUUGAGUAAAGAGUAAAGUGUAAUAUUUUUGUUCAAAUUCUUCAUCUUUGUGUGGUUGAUGUCUAACAAUAUCAUAAUAUUUGACAUGCAACAGGAUUGCUGCUUGAUUCCAGAAUCACCAUUCUAUUUGGAAGGCAAAGGUGGACUCUUUGAGUUUAUUGAAGAGCGACUAAAAGAGAAUGGACAUAUAGUUAUUGUUGCUGCUGAAGGAGCUGGUCAGGAAUAUCUUGCUCAAAGUAUGCAAGGAAUUGAUGAGAAAGAUGCAUCUGGAAACAGGCUUCUCCUUGAUGUUGGUCUCUGGUUAACCCAAAACAUCAAGGUGGGGUGCAUAAUCUCUCUUAUCAGCUUCAGAUUUUUAAUUCAGUAAAUCAUGGUAUCACAGUCUCAACAAUACCUUAAGGAAGAAACUAAGGCUUUUAUUUCUCCUUCCCUUAAGCAACCUUUCUCCAGAAGGUUUUUUAUUGAAACGAGCAUUGAAGUGGGUGCUAGUUGUAAUUAAUAUUCCUUUGUUGGAUUCUGUGUUUAAUUUCAUUUUAUAUAAUCAUAUAUCAAUGCAGGUUUAGAAAUAGAAGCAUCUAUAAUCUAGGAAACCAGAAAAGGAAAAGAUGGUGUUCUUUCUUGCAUUCUGAACUAUAUACCGACAGGAAAAUCUUAGUGCACCACUAGAAUAUUAUGUUGCAUGAAACAUUUUUGUUUGAGUUUAAACUUUACUAUGAACUGGUUCUUGAUUUCUGGUUGUAGUAAUUUUCCUUGAGCUCCAUAACAGAAGGGUUUUAGUGUAUUAACACAACAGCUCGUGGUGUAUAAUUAUAAAUUUUGGAGGAAAUUGUAACUCUAUUAUGUUACCAACGGUCUUUGGUAAUCAACCCUCUUUUUGUUCUUCUCACCUGUGCUUUUAUCAUUUCCCCUUAAUUAUUUACUACUUCAUGCAGGAUCAUUUUACUAAGGAGCGGAAGAUGGCAAUAAAUAUGAAAUACAUUGGUAAGUUCAACAUCAUAUCUUUUUUAUCCCCACUCUUGUCCUUGUGGCUAGUGCAAUUUUAUUUGAUCUGUCAUUUUUAUAGUUAAGAUAAUCCUGGUUAAGAGAUUUGGGUGUUUUGUCAUGCUAAUUUUACUAAAACCGCAAGAAAAUUCUUGGAUAUGCAUAAUCCAUAUUUUGCAAAUAGUUAGGUAAAUGAUGGUUGGUGCUGCAAUUACUUGAUUUGUUAUGCAUUUGAUCAUGUGCUACCCUCCUGAAAUAAGAUGUUUCUGUCUGUUUCAUUAUGCUUGGUACUUUAAAGAAAUCUUGUUCAAAUAUCAUGACCAAACAUGAAAUCAUGAGCCGCAGUUUUACUGCAAACCUCUUGGAAACUUGUUUUUCUCUCUGUGUCAUCUACCAAAAUUUUACUGAAUUAACUGUUAUAAUAAAAGCAGCUGGUUUGAAAUUAUCUACUUGCAUGGACACCAAAUUUCAUAUGAGGCAUCUUUUCAUUUUAAGAACCUUUUCUUGAGUUUCUGAUGUGGAAGUUGGUGGACAAAAUUUGAACUCUCCUCUAGAUCGGAACUGCUUGUUCUUAUUAUUUCAUGUGAUAAAACUAAAAUUAUUUUUAUCUUUCAUCCUCCAGAUCCUACAUACAUGAUACGAGCUAUUCCGAGUAAUGCAUCAGACAAUAUUUACUGCACCCUUCUUGCACAAAGUGCUGUGCAUGGGGCCAUGGCUGGAUAUACAGGGUUCACAGUUGGACCUGUAAACAGCAGACACGCCUAUAUUCCAAUUUCUGUAAGCUUUGAAGUUUUCAAUGGUUUUAACUUUAUUUUGAAAUCUAAUAAUUUUGCUUGACAUCUAAUUGCAUUUAUUCUUUUGAAGUUAAAAUGUUUCUCCAUGAACUAACUUGUUCGAAAUUCAACUAGUUUUUUCCUUACCUUACAAGCAUCAAUCCCCCAAAACUGAAGAUAAUUGGUUGUUGUCACCUCUUUGCAAAUUAACCUAGUUUUUGUACUGUAUUGGAGUUGACGUCUAACUUGGAAUGUCGCUGUAUGGUAUUUCUGUUUCAGAACGUUACUGAAACUCAAAACACCGUGAAGUUGACUGAUAGGAUGUGGGCUAGACUUCUUGCUUCGACAAACCAACCGAGUUUCCUGAACUGUGAUGAAUCAACAGGUGGGAAAGUCUGUAAAGAUACUAUCGACUUGAUCAACAACAUGAAGAUUACAUCUAUUUAGAUUCGAUUGAUAUAUGCUCCGAUGUAAACACAUCAUCAUGGCUUCAUUUCUUACCUCUAAUAAUUUGCAAAACACUUCAACUUCGACGCUUUGAAGUCACCAAGAAGUCACCAUCUGCAUUUAGCUCAUAUUUGGGUUGCUACAUAUUUGUUCUCACUUUGGAUUGUCUCAAGAAUUUGAUAUCAUCAUGACACAUUGCCAACCUAUAUGUAUAUUAUAUUGAACCGGAAAAUUUUGCUUCAAAGUGUAUCAGCAUAGAUAUUUCAGUUACUUCGAUUCCGAUGUUUAUCCAUUUUCUUGAAUCCUUAUGUGUAUCUUUCGUUGCUCCUUUUUUUACUUUGAAAACUAAGUAGGCACAUUUGCAUAUGCCAAGAAGACGUUCUUAAAGUGUAUAUUGUCAAAUAUAUGUUGGAACACCAUAUGUAUUCACAUAACAUGACAUUGAUCGUUAAUUUAUUAUAUUGAUAUGCUUGCUCGAACAACAUGCAUUUGGACCCUGAAACUCUGAUCCUCCCUUGUGGUAUAUUCUCUAAAUAGUAGUGCUUGUUAACUUGUUGCUUAUGUUUAUUGGAAAAAGUAUGUGAUGGGUCUUGGACUUGCGUAAGUCCCUUUUAUUUAAUAGACAUGUCUUUAAGGAUGGAAGUUGUGUUGUUGGCUCAUGAUAAAUGAUAUCUAGGUAUCGUUUAUGGCAAAAUAAUGCUAACCGAGUUGCGAUCCAAUCUAAUCUUAUAGGAAUAGUUUUGUCGGGGUGGGUUUAAUAUUUAAAUUUUAUAAUAAAAUUUAAAAUUAUAUAUGAAUUUUGAUUCAAUUUAUAUUUUAAUACAUCAAUUUGGUUUAGUACUAUUAUAUGCAUGAUUUUUAUUCAGUUGCAUAUUUAAAAUUUUAAUUUUAAUUAAUAGUAUAUGUUCAGAAAAGAACAAAUCACUUUUAUUUAUGUUCACAUUAAUUAACUAUAAUUAUUUGUACGUACAAUGAGUAAAUAUAAAAAAGUGUCAUAUCAAUAACAGUGCUUGUGUUUUGUAAAAACUAAAUCAAAAUCAAAACAUGCUCUAAGAUGUAAUAUCAAAUCAUGUAAAACUUAAAAAGUCAAUCCCAUUCCAAUCAAUAAACAAAAAAGAAAAAAGGAAAAGAAGAGUAUAUUUAUUAAAAAAAAUUGUCAUGAUUUAGCCGUUAAAUUGUACACCUUUUUUCACAUUGAUAUCUAAAUUAUAUGGUGUAAAAAAUUGGUACUUAUAAUAUCUUAUAGAAUUUGGUCCAAAAUUCAAAUUGCAGUAAAAAUAAAAAGAAAUGACCCAAGAUAUUGCAACAAACAUUGAAGGAGCAACAGCAAGAAAAAUGUAUCUAUGCUACUGUCAUUUGCAGAUGUAUCUAUGCUACUUGGGGAAAGCAAGAUAAUGACAGAAAAAAACAUAAAAAAAUACAAUAAGCACAGAAUAGAAAAAUGCCCUCAAUCAGUAUCCAAAAAAGAGAUAGGAAGAACAAAGCACAAGUUGGAACACCAUACCACUCAAUAUUAUGUAAUCAAUACCUAAAUAUAUGAAUAGAAGUCAAACAAGUAGUAAUCACAAUAAAGAUGAGGGAGAAACCAGUAGCAAUAUCAGCGGCUGGCUUCCCAAACCUGAUAACAAAUAAGGCUAGGUAUGAAAUUAUUUUAACUUUUAAGGAUAAAAAGGAAAAAUCAUAGAUAAAAUAUGGUUAUAUUUGUCAAAGGAAAAGGCUUCACGGUUCACUGUAGGUACACUGAAGGCUUUGGCUCUAGUCAAAGCAAAAUAGCAUUUUUGGAGUUUGUAACGCAUCGAGGCUGCGUUGAGACUUCAGUGAAAAUCUAUCCUAAAUGUGCCUUUGUGGAGGCAAUCAGUGAUCCAAAGGAAGUCAAACUUGGAAAAAAAGUCUUCCCAUUAAAGUUUGCCAUGAUUCUCUCACAAAGUGAAAGGGAUCAUAUAUGAAUUAUAAAUUUUUAAAGGAAUUAAUAUGUAAUUUUGUCAUUAUAUUAAUUUAUAGUUUAUCAUUAUAUCUGAAUUUGAUUUUAGUCUUCAAAUACCAACAAAAAAGUUUCAACUACUCUAAAAAUAAAUAUUAUCUGAUCCAAUUCAAACAAUAUUGUUGUCCCCUUUCUUCCUACUCAAUUUAGCAUAUUAAUUAAAACAUAAUUUACUAUUACCAAUGUUUUCUUAAACCCGAUGUCUCGUAUCAAAUUUAAAUUAUCUUAAAUAGUAACUCCGCAUGAAUCACUAGACAUAUCUUUAAAUUUUGAUAAUAGGUAAAAUAAUAUAUAUAUAUAGAUAAAUUGAAUUAUAAAAAGAUGCACAUGGUUUUGACUUUUGAGUCUAGUAGUCCCCAUCCAGCUAUUCUAUUAUUACAAUAUGAGAGCAAGCUGGGAAAUCUAAAGAAUUGAAAAUGGAUACGGCAGGUUGAAAUUUAUGAUAAUGAGAUCGUAUGAAUAAAGGAUAAUGAGAUCAUAUGAAUAAAGGGUUGAUGAUAAUAAUAUUAUCCCUCUUCUCUUAUAUCUUUAUAAGUCGGCUAUUUAUUAGUCUGGUUUUUUGGAAUUUUCUCUCUCUGCAAGUUGCUGUAAUGUGGGCGUUUGUUAGUACAUCUCCAUCACUCGCAACUGGUUACACUAUUAUCUAUUAAUUAUGUGUUUAUAUUUACACAUUUCCAUCCAAGAGUAGUAAGCAAUAUCAAUUUUGCGAUUAUCUACACACGAUGUUAUGAUAUAGCACCUAAAGUGGUGAAGUAAUGGCUAACUUUGCACUUAGGUCACCAAUAACUCAGUAUAAUAGUAGCUAACACCACUUUACAUAUAAUAAUAAUUAUUCUCAACAACCUUUUAAUCCAAUGAUAAGAACAAAGCAUUAUAUUGUAAGUACGAGCGUUUUAUUUCGAUCUUAAACAAUUUCAUUCUCCUCCCCAAUUAUAAAAUAUAUAUAUAUAUUAUAAAAUACCAAAAAAAUGACUUACGAGCCUUAAUAAGAACUUACUUUAUAACUCAAUAAACUAUUUAUUAAAGAGCUUCGUUUAUUUAAACCCUUCAACUUAUACAUUUUUUAGCAAAAUGAGAUUAAAUCCCAACAUUGCAAACGACUAAUAAAUACAAUAUUAACCAUUAAGUAUUCACCAUUCAAAUUUAUUUUACUUUUAUGAAUAACGAAAUGUCUAUUAUUCGAAACUAUUAGGAAAAAGAAGAAGUAGUAGAUAAUAGAUUUGGAUAUUCAAAUUCAAAAUAGUUUAUUUGAACUUGAAUAUCCAAAUCUAUUAUCUACUAUUUUUUUUCCUAACCAUCGGACGACUUUGGAGAGCCUCUGUGCAUUGCCAAUGGCUUCACGCUAUCGGGUUGGCUCUCCUGCUCCCACUUCUCAUAGGCGGUGGCACUUUCUCAAGUCCUUUUGGACUCCUCUACAAUGACUUCUUUUGUCCCUCUUUGAACUCCAAUGAUCUUAGGAAUUUUUUUAAAAAUCAAAAUUAACUUAAUUCAAUUUGAAUCAACUUAAAAUUAAUUCAACCUAUUGUUUAUAUAGUUGAUAAGUUUGUGCGUGUAAGUAUUUCUUUUGAUCAAUUGAUAUUGAUAUUAUUAUAAUAUAAAAAAAAUAUAAAUAUAAACAUGCUAAAGUACAUAUAUUUUUCAUUUAAAAAUUAAAAAAAAAAUAUUAUUAUUAAUUUUAAACGUUAUAUAAGAAAAACCCACCUCUUCUAUGAGAAAAUUCGUACAUGUGCAAAAUAUAGUCGAAAUAAUAUCUAGACUUUAGCUAAUCCCUUUUCCAUUAGUUGAAAAUAACAUAAACUUAGAAAAUGAUUUUGCACUAAAAUUUCUACUUAUUCAAACCACAAUUUUUUACUCAUUCAUAGCACGCACUAACAAAAGAAAAAUCAAAAAGAGAUAUUUUAAAAUUUUAGAAUUAAUAAAUUAAAUAAAUUAUUUUUUAGAAUUAUAUUUGAUAUAUUUACAAUUUAUACUUUUAUCUACAAUAAAAAAAAUUGAAGAAUAAUAUUACAUCAUAAAAAUAAAGUGAUAAAUAUACGUUACAUUUCUAAUGAAAGAACGUAAGUUAAAAUUUUAUAAACAAUAUUGUUUGAAGCGACAACUAUGAACUUCAUAAAUCAUAAAACAGACACGAAAAUUAUAAUUUUUUUUAAUAUUUUUAAUUUAUCAUCUAUUUUAACUUCCAUAACAUAUUUUAUAGUUUAAUUAUCAUGUAUAAAUCUCCAUAUGCUUGUAAUUAUAUUAUAAUUAUAGAAAACUGAUGUAGAAAAUAUCAUAAAUAUCUUUGGGAAGCAUAUAUGAGCCUUAUUGUAUAAACAAAACAUAGUCCAAAUAAUAUCUAGACUCUAAGCAUUACUCUUUUCCAUUGUUGAAAAUGAAUUUCCACCCAAAUUCCUACAUAUAUCAUCACACCUUUUUCUUUUCAUUGAUAGCACUUAAAAAAGAAAAGAAAAAAAAAUAAAAAGGAGAUAUUUUAAAAUUAAUGAAUUUUUUUUUUGUAUAUUCUAUCAAAAAAUUGAAUAAUUAUAUAUAUCUUAAAAUAAUGUAGUCAUUUAAAUCCAUUUUUAAUCAUUUAGUAUUUUUACUUUUAUUUAUAGAAAUUUAGUCCCUUUACUUUUCAGAUUUCAAAAUUCAGGUCCAAUUGUUGAGGGUACUAAAUUCCUGUACUUGUAUUUAACAAUUAAACCUAGAUUUUGAAAUAUGAAAAAAUAGUGGGACUAAAUUUCAAGUUUGUGAAGAGUAUAGGGACUUAUGGCAUAUUUUAACCUUUUUCUUAAUUCAAUAAAAUUAAUGUAUUAUUUUUUAAAAAUAUCUAAAAUAAAAUCUAUGUAAUUAAUUCUUAAAUGGGAUAAAUAUUAAAAAUAUACGCAAAUUUUGAUGCAAUGUGUAAUGUUUUACAUGAAUUCUAAUUUUCUGCGAUUUUAUACAUAAAUUUUUAAUUUGAUUAAAUUUUCACAAAUCACUAACAACAUUAUCGAAUUAGCACCAUUUUACGUUGAUACAUUGCAUACACAAACAAGUAUAUUAAUUCAAUAUGAAAAUAAAUGUAUGCAUUUGUUUUUAUAAAUGUGAAUAAUUGAAUUAAAAUCAAAGUUUUGUAUAUACAUAUGAAUCACAAUUCAUGUUUUAUGCGUAUAAUUACACUAAAUCAAAGUUAAUGUAUCGAAUUCUACAAUAUUAAACUAAAGUUCAUAUAUGAAUUUGAUAUUUAUAAAAAAAACACACACACAGACCAACAUUGUGCCAUUUUCCACUCCACAAAAACUUCAAAUAUUGCAACUUUAUAUACAAGUCAUUGUACAAUAAGUUGUUGAAUUCUUACAUUUUCUUCUAAAAAAGAAACAUAACUCAAUAGGUAACAUUUUUUUAUUUUUUUAUUUAUUUAUCAGGUUAUUUACUAAAGUGAGCUGAAUAAUUAAUUCUUCGCAUUCUGUAGGUUUUCCGCAUUCUGUAAGUCCAUUAAAGAGUAAAUGUUGGCCAUAAAUUUUAAAGUUGCUUCAUUUUUAAGGCGAAAAUUAAACUCUUAAUCACUGAUUAAAGUAAGAGAGACCCUUACCAUCUCACUUAACUCCCGUGAUUUUUAUUAACUCCCGUAAUUUCUAUUUGGUAAUAUUGAUUACUUAUGUACAUAUUAUUAUAAAAUACAUUUAAAUAUGAUGUGGUUUGGGCAUUUAGUACAUUAUCUAACAUGUCACCAUAAAUGUUUUCUAGUCAAGAGAGACAGUCCAUUCCGAUCAUCAUCAUCAAGCUCACCCUCUUCUUCCUUCACCUCCCAUGCCAUUUCGCUACUUCCCGGCGAUGUGACGUCACUUUCCGGCAACCAAACUCUCUUUUCUCUCCUCCUUUUCCUCCCGGUAGUAACCGCCGGUGGCUGGCUUCCCUCUCCGGCUUCAAGUGGAAAAUUCAAUAUUGCUUUCUGACCCCUCAUUUUAAACGCAGCACAAUCAUAAGCCUUAGCAGCACCGACAUCACUAUCGUAAGUCCCUAACCAUACCCGAAUCCCUUUCCGGUUCGGGUCACGGAUCUCCGCCGCAAACUUUCCCCAUGGCCUUCUUCGUACACCUCUAUAAUGCCUUUUCUCUUCACAGAGUGGCCCCUUUGUUAUCGGCCCUGGUUCUACACCAUGGGUGAAGAUUUCAGGGAGUUGAUGGCUUUGGGGUUGAAGGUGAGAAAGGUCAAAAUCGAGGGUGUUUAUGAAAGCAUCGGGGGUGGCAACGUCACCGAGAAGGUGUUGUCGAAUGAACUCGAGAGUUGUUGAUUCUUCAAAGGUAGCCGCCAUUGUUAAAGUUUACAAGGAAUUUGUAUAUGAUGAAAUUGGAUAUGAAGUUGAUAUGGGGGAGUGAGUGAGGAUCUAUUUAUACAGUGAAGAUCAAAAUCUCCCUUUUCCAUCGCCAUGGAAAUUGACAGCUUUUUCAAGUGUGGGACUCACCUUGGGGUGAAAAAUAUCCUUUGGAUCCAUGUAUGCAUACUACGAUAUGAGAGCACCUACAUCAUAUUUAUAAAUAAAUAAUUUCAAUUUAUCUAAGUUUAUUCAUAGAUAAGUAUACAUACGUAAAAUUAGAGGUUAAUGCAAUGGUAAAAUAUAUUUUGAUAUUUUAAAAUUUAAAAUUUAAUUAUGAUUUCUUUAAAAAUAAAUAUUUAUAUUUUAAUCCUUAAUAAAUUAUAAAAUUUUACAUUAAUAUAAUGAUAAAAUUAUCUUUUUCGCUCUCUUAAAUAUAAAAUUCAAAUUCCACGUCUCCAAAAACAAAUUCUGGCUUCCGACUUGUCGAAAUCGAAACGUUGAAAUAUUAAUUAAACAAAGUCAAGGAGGAGUUGGAGUAUAUACAUAAAUAAAAAUCCCAACCCUGGCAUUGCCCGUUGCUUUAUCUCUCAGUGUUUUGGUUUGCCCAUAGUAGCUUGGAACUGUUUCUGCACACGGUUUUAACACUAAGUACUAUGUGCUGGAAAUUAAGGGAUGAUCUUAUCCUUUGGCAAUUAAAGCAGCCCAGAAAUGGGGUCCUUUUAAUAGGGAGUUCUUCAAGUUGACUCUGGAGGCAGCAACAGAAGCUAAAAAGAUUGUCCAUGUUAUAUAUAUAUAUGUCCUGAGGUUGCUGGGACCUCCCAAGUUGCUCAAGCCAUAUCCAUAUAUAUGUUUGGCAAAUAAGGAGCUAUGGUGUAAAUUGAGGGAGUGGACAUGCAACAUUUUAAGAGACAAAUCACUUUGCAACUGGAGUGGCUACUUGGAGGGAUCCACACCCCAAUUAAUCCUCUUGUCAUUUUAUUUGACAGCUUCAUUAUGAAUUGUGUGUGUGUAAGAUGACCGGAUUCGAAGCUAGCUAUUUCAAGUUGUUUCUAAUUUGCUAACUUACAUCCCUAGGGACAAAAAGUACUUGUUCUACCACUUGCUAAGUAGACCCCUACCCCAUAAUCAAAUCCAUGCAUGCAUCACUUUGCCAUGUUACUAGAAAACACUUUGUAAAAUGUGUUGCAUAUGAUUUUUGGAGAAAAGUAAUAAGUUCGGUAAUUGAUUUAACAGGUUUCAAGUUACCAAUAUAAUUUUUUUUGUUUUUGAGGUGGCUUGAUCAGAUCGCUAUAGUCUUUUCAUAUUUGUCUUCUAACCAUAGUUGUUGGUUUAAAAAAGACUCCACGAGAUUUCACUAUCAUAAAAUUGCACCUUAGACAUUAACGAAAAUUAGAGAUAGUCUCAUGCAAGUAAAGUUAUACUUUAUUCUUAAUAACCAAAUAAAGUAGCUUAAGAGAAAAUUCAAGUUCGAACCUAGAAAUAAUAUUGUUGGGAAGAGAUAUCACAAAUCUUAAAAAAAUUAAUCUUUAUGGACUUAAAAUGGGCAUGAAAGAUACCCUAAUUAUACCUAAAAAAAAAUCCAUCUCAAGUUGUAAACUAUGAGCUUCCAAUUGCUCAAAAACAACAAGAAAUAAAUUUAAAUCUAAAAUAAAUUGUACUCAAAAUAUUUAAAUUUGAAAACUAAAAUAAAUAGUCUAUUGAAUCAUGGGUGGAAUAGCAAACCACUUAUGUUUAAGUAUUUAGUUGACAUCAUUGGACAACACUUAGUUCUUAUAAAAAAAAUUAUUCGGUUCUUCCAAUUCUAAAUUAAUAUUCAAAUAAUUAUGGGAUAAAUAUCAAAAUUAUAUACGAACUUUGAUGUAUAAUUAACAUGGACUUUAAUUUUGUAUAAUUAUACACAUCAAACUUUGAUUUCAGUUCAAAUGUGUACAUUCGAUUUUGAUUUAAUUAUACACAUUAUAAAUAUGAAUACAUGCAACUUAUCUUUAUAUUAGAUAAGUAUAAUUAUUUACGCAUAUAAUAUGUGAACACAAAAUGGUAUUAUAUCAACAGUGAUAUUAAUAAUUUAUGAAAAUUAAAUCAAAUAAGAAAAUAACAAUAUCAAAAUUUACACAUAACAUUUUAUAUCAAACCAAAAUUCGCGUAUAAUUUUAAAGAUUUAUGUCAAUAAUUAUAUUAAAAACUUUAUUUAAGAUGGAGACUUUUCUUCUAUCAAGAGUUGGAGGCAAGUCUUCUAGCAUUGGAAUGUAAAUAGAUUGUAACAAAUUCAAUUUUAAUUAUAUUUUAGACUAAACAUCUUUAUCUUAUAUUAACAAAAUUAUUACUCAUCACGGAACAAAUAUUAAUAGUAAUAAUCUCACCUAUUUUCUUAAAUUUUAUUAAAUGCAAUUGCGUGAUGUAUUCGAUAAACUUUCAUAUCCCAACUUGUAAUUAUAAAAUAUUCUUUAAAAAUCUUCAUUUGGGUUUAUUUUUAAUAUGAAAACUAAAUUGAUUUUUUUAUAAAAUCCCAUUCUUACGUUAUCAUAUAUAGAUUAUAUUAUAGUUGCUUUCAAAUAUAUAUACAUAUAUAUAAUUAUAAUUUGAUUAAAUUUUCAUAAAAUAUUAAUAAAUUAUUGAAUUACAUUGGUAUAUUGAAUACGCAAAAAAUUAUAUUAAUUCAAUAUGAAAAUAAAUAUAUGUAUUUAUUUUUUUAUAUGUGUAUAAUUGGAUUAAAAUCAAAUAUAAAAACUAAAAUUCAAGUUUCAUAUAUAUAAUUACACCAGAUCAAAAUUUAUAUAUCAAAUUAGUAACCAUGCAAAAAUUUAUAUUUAAUUAAUAUAUUUGGUUCAAAUAAUUAAAAAAAUUAUUAACAAAAACCCCCUUACAUAAAUCUUAAUUGAUUAAUCAUAACAAAGAUUUUGAUUUUGAUUUUCUGUAAAAAUAAAAUAAUAAUUUCAUUAAAUAAACAAAUCAAGAAACAAAUACAAUUUUAAUUAAAUAAAAAACCUUAGGCUUUGGCAUUCUCUAGUUUAUAUACACUAAUAAUACUCAUACUAAUCCAAAACACACACCUCUUCAUUAAUCCAUUUCUUGACGGCCGUUAACUUUUUUCCGUUUAUAGUAGAUGAUUCAAGCCGUCACGUCAACCAACCUUUCCUUAUUUAGUAAACGACACCACCAUCUUUACAUAACGGCGAGUCCUGAAAUAGAAUAACCGAACGGAGAUAAAGGUGAUAAUGGAGGAAUACUAAAUAUUCCCUUCAUAUCUUCACUAUCCCAAAACCCUUUCCAAUUUGACGGCGUUAAACAUACUCCCGUCGUCGUUACGUUUUCCGUUAUCUCUUCCUUUUUCACUACUUUCCUCUCUUGUUCUUCUUCUUCUCUUUUUCUUUUAUUCGAGGGUUGGGAUUCAGUUGAGUUCGAGUUUCCGAUUUCGAGAGGGAAAUUCAAAAUUGCUUUACUUCCACGUAGCUUAAAAGCAGCUCUAUCAUAAGCUUUAGCGGCUUCGAUAGCGGUUUCGAAAGUUCCGAGCCAAAUUCUAGAACCUUUUCGAUUAGGGUCUCUAAUUUCGGCUGCGAACUUUCCCCAUGGUCGUCUUCUUACACCCCUGUAAUGCCUUUUCUCGUCAUGUUCCUCGAUGGCUUUCGUGGCGGUGGAGGUUAUUUCAACUUUCGAUGGUGGAAUUGUGACGUUAAUAGAAGGACGACGUUGGCUUAGGGUGGAUUGUUUAUGAAACUGGGGUGUUGGAGGAGGUGAAAGAAAGGUUUCCAUUGAAGCAAAAUCAUUAAGGUGUUGAUUUAUGAGUUCUAAAGCAGAUGAUGUUUCUCCGAAAGAAGCCAUUCUUGGGAAGCUAAAAUUAAUAAAAUGGAAGUGAAGUUGGAGGAGAAGGUGAUGGAUUUGAGUGGAAAAGAGAGUGUGUGGUGGGUUUGUAUAUAAAGGGGAAGAAGAUACAUGGAGAUGGAAAUUAAGAGAUUUUCAUAGGAGGUUUCCAGGAUAGACACAGGAAGUAUCCUAUACUUUUAGCCAUGGGUCCAAACUGGAGGUUCAAUAACAUCAUCCAAUUUGGCAUUUUCCUCUACACUCACUAUUUUAGUAAUUUCCACCACCCCUCGCACGUCAUUUUUAGAUAGAGAUUCAAUUUUUAUUAUUUUUUAAAAAUCUAAAAAUUAUUUAUUUUGUUUUUAAUUUAAUAGAUUAGCAUGUUGAACUAAUCGAAUUAACGAAAUUUUUUAAUACUUUAACAGUUAAUUAAAUCAAAUUUUUUAAAAAAUUAAUUAAAUUGAAAUAUUUUAAUUAAUUCAAUGAAAAACCGGAAUUUAUAUAUAUUGUUAAAAUAAGUAUAAAAUAUAUAAAAAUAAAUAAAUUGAUAAUAUUCAUUUGAUCAAAUUAACCGAAUUAAAAUUACAUAUAAUUUGUAUUAUUAAAUAUUAAGUUCGGUUAUUUACUCAAUUUUAAACCAAAUUAACCAACCUCUGACUGAAUUAGAUCGAUUCGGUCAAUUAAUUCGAUUUUAACCGAAAUUUGUACACCCAACCAAUAGUUGGCAAUUCUACUUUUUCUUUUUAAAUUAUCAUUAUGUAAAUUAACAAAAACAAAUUAUUAUAAUUCUAUUGACAUCGAUAUUUUUAUUAAUCUUUAUAUUUAAGGAUAAAAGAAUUAAAAAUUAUUAUAAAUUUAAAAAUAAAAUUAAAUUCAUCAGGGUUUUACUUGGAUUAGAAUAAGAUUAAACUAGAAAACAAGAAAUAAGGAUAAAAUCUUGGUAAUGAUCGCAAAACUUUUACAAAACAUAAAGAGUCUUUGGGAAUAAUCAAAAGUAAGUGUAUAAUGAAACCAUAUGUCAUGUUUUACCGAUAGUGACAUACUGAUUUUUAUUUUUAUAAAAUUUAAAUUUAUUUAUUAUUAGUAAAGUAAUUUAAUUAUAUUAUCUGGCGGCUGAUAUCUGAGUUUAGAAAUUUCAAAAAUUAAAAUAAAUACUGUAUUCGUAUUCAUAUAUAUAUAUGAGUUAAUUAAAUAUUAAAAUUUACUAAAUAUAUUAAUUUAAUAAUUUUAAAAAAUAUAUAAAAUAUAUUAUAUGCAUAAAAGUAAAAACGAAAAUUGAGAUGUUGUGAGCAAGAAUGAUUUAUCUUUAGCUAUCAAGUAGAAACGUGAGGAUUUCAAAUACUUGGAUUGAGUGUUAGCACGUGCCGUGGACUUUCAAAAGCUGUCGGAAUGGUUGCAAAAUUAUGACUUUGCCAAAGCAAUGUUGAGAGUUUUGCCUACGCAAACUUUUUGACCAUUCCAAAACCAAAGCUAUUACCAUUUUCAAUGUUUGUAGAAUUUUAAUUACCACGUUUCUAAAUGUAACAAUAAUAAUUUAUAAACCACUAGUAAGGGUUUAGAAUGAUGGAUAAAAAACAUUUAUGAGACAAAGACAAUCACUUCCUAUGCAUAGAUGGACACUUGAUACAAAUCAUCUUGUGUCCCCUACAAUGUAUCAUGUGUAAAGGAGGGGAACCACAAUGCAACUCUUGCUUGACUUUUAAUGCAUAUUAAUUUUUAUAAAAGGUCCAGAAUUCUUGUUGACUUAAGUAUUGAAGAACAUCUCGAAGUUUAUACUCUAGUACUUCUUAACUUAUCCUCUUCUAAAACUUCUUUUUAACAUUAAGAUUUUAAGAACAUUUUCCCUUAAGUAAAACUUUCUCAAGCAUUCUCUCAACAACCAAGCCUUUCUUCCUCGUAAAAUUAGAGACAAAGAUCACCUUCAUCACAACCUUUGUAGAGAAGAUCAAUGGAGAAAGUUGAACAAGCAACAUCUUUUAUUUCUCAAGAAGCAAUUGAAAUCCAUUCUAUUUAAUAACAUUAUAUAUACCUAAUUUUGGCUAUUAACAUUUUAUCUCUUCUUACAAAUAAAUAAUCUUAAUAUUUUGAUUAAUAAUUAUCGUAUUGUGUUUCAAGAGAUGUUCCGGAAAAAAUAUUUCACAUUAUACCAUUUCAAGAACAAUCAUAAUGCCAUUUGAAAGUACAUAAUUAAGACAAUUUUAAGGAGCUUUACUCGAUCAUACUAGUGAAAGAUUCAAAAGUCUUACCCUGCCUAAAGACUUGUUUCAUUGCUUUGGCAACCAGUUGAGAAAAGCACUAUUUGCUCAUCAUAAGAACUUGUCAAGGGAAGAUAUUUUGUAAACAAAUUAUUUUUUUAUUUAGUUUAUAAAUAAGAUUUAAAGGGGAAAGCCUGAGUGGAAGAGUGAAUCUAAUUGAAUGUGUAGAAAUGAGAUUGUAACUAAGUGAGCUAAACUUAAUGACAUCUUGUACUAUUCAUUCAUAGUGGAUUACUCUGUGAGUAAGGCUUGAUAGACAUAUAAAGGGAUUUCCAACCGUGUAACCAAAUCCCAUGGGCAUUGUUGUUACUCUCUUUUCACAAUUGUUUCUUUAAUCUUGAUUCACAACACAAUUGACAAACAACUCAACACUAUCAAAUAACAUAUGGCUCUAUAUUUUGGUGGGUACACUAUUAAUGAAAGAUUUGUUAGUUAAUAAAUUGUUAACCAAAACCGAAAUUUAAAAAAAUAUAUUUUUUAUGUCAUAGAAUUUAACUUUUAUGUUACGUUUAGUUGGAGUAUUAUUUUUUAUGUAUGUUUUAGUAUAUGAGUUGGCACAAAACUAAUUCAAUUGAUAAUAUUUAGCCACUCCAUGAGUUUUUUUUAGCGGAGAGAAGGAAAAAAUUUCACUUAUUUUAAAGAUGUCUUAUUUUUACAAUACUUUUUUACUCAUAUUUCUAAUUUUAUGUUUAAAUUCACACUAACUAUUUUUAUUUUAUUUUAUGUCUAACUAUUGUAAUACACAAGUAAUAAAAAAACUUUUUCCUUCUAUUAUUAUAAUAAUAAUCAAACAAGUAAUUACUCUCAUAAUUUUACAUUAAAAGUCGUACUAUAGUGAAAUGUCUAUUGUAAUUAACUAAUCAUUAUAUUCAGUACAAAUUUAAUAUUCUUUUUACACAAUGCUUAAAACUUAUUAUAAUCUCUCCUCAAAUCGUAAAUAAGAGAAUAAUAUGUAUCAACGCACUUGAACAUAAUCAACUAUACAAAUUUAAUUUAACUUUUGAAGAUAAAACUUUUUUUAACUCAGAAUUAUUAUUGUUUUAAAUUGUUUAAUCAUAUUUGAAAAACUUUGGAUGUAAUCAUUUUUAAAUAUAUUUUUAUAACAUCUAAUUAAUUAAUAUAUUUAACAUAAUAGAAACUUAAAAGGCUUAAAUUUAGUACUUGAAUUUGAUUUUUUUUAAUUCAAUAUAUGGAUUUGACACUUUUUUCUAAUUUAAUAUUUAAUAUUUUUUAUCCGAUUUGGUGCUUGAACUUAUUUAAUAUCAUACAAAUUACUCCAAAUUGCUAAUCAUGCUAAUUUUUAUAUGAGGUAGCAAAAAAAAUCAAUGCAUGCUUGUCAUGUGGCAAAUGACAUUGUGUUUCUUUUUUAUGCAUUUUAAAUGUUCAAUUACAUUUAAUUUAAUUAAUAUAUUUUAUUUUUAUUUUGGGUUUUAAAAUUUAUUUUAUUCAAUAUUAAUUUCUUGAGUAUGGCCCAAAUGCAUAACUUUUUAACAAGAAUGUUCUCCAAUACUGGAUAUAUUUUUAUAGUAUAAUAAGAAUUUUUUAACACCGUCAAUGUUUUGAAGUAAUUUGUAUAUCAUUUAAUAAAUUUGAGUAUCAAAUUAAAAAAAAAUAUCAAAUCUAAAUACCAAAUUGAAAAAAAAAUAAAUACUAAGUUAGAAAAAAUAUCAAAUAUCAUUUAAGGGAAUCUUAAAAUGUUUGGGGAAAAAAACUCACGGUAUAUAAAUGCGAAAUUAUGAAGGGAGUCGCAUUGAAGAUUGUGGGUCAAUUGACCCCAAAAUAACUAUAAAAAAGAGGAUUGUUAUUUUGUUUGGAAUAAAUUUAAAUUUUAUAUAAGAUUAUUUUUUAUUCAUCAGAUAAUUUAAGAAUAUUGAUUUUGAUUAAUAUAAAUUGUUAAAUACAUUAUGAUUGAUUGUUUUUAUAAUUUUAAAUUUUUAAAUAUUGAAAAAUAUAUUUUUAAUAUUGACAAAGAUAAAAUAAUUCAACAGGAAAAUAUUAUGAAUAAUUGUAAAAAGUUAUAAUUAUUGAAAUUCAUUUAAAGGAUAUUUUAUUUUAAUUACUAUUCUAAUAGUUUGUAAUAAUUUUAAAUUUAAUCAUUUUAUACAUUAACUUAUCAUAUGUUAAUAUUAUGUAGUAAUUUGAAUGAUUUUCUAAAACGUUUGGGUUGAAGACUUGACUAUUAAAUCAACAUUUUGUACCAUGCAUUGAAUCCCCAUACUAUUAGUUAAUAGUCUAGUCAUCGUCAACUAGUCAACUCAUUGACAUUUACUUAUAGCUGUCCAUUGAAGCAACAUCCCAUUAAUUCUUUUAUAAUUGAUUAAAUUUUACUAUUAUGCAUAAAUUAUAUUAAUUUUUUUAAAAAAAUAAAAUUUUAAAAAAUUCAAGAAAGGAAAGGAAUUUUAUUGAAAAGGGUAACUAUAAAAUUCAAAAGAUCACGACGUUGGCCUACCCCUCCCUACGCCCCCAACAACUAGUUAGGAAUAUUCUUUUUACAAGGGAUUAAUUUUAUGUUAAAUUGUAAAAUAUCUGAAUUAAAAAUAUUAUGUCAUCGUUUUUAACUAGAAGUAUUCAUACGUUAGGUCGGUCCAAAUAUGAAUCUAAGGAUGUUGGUAAGAGUUUGGUCUCUUAAAAUAGAAAAUUAUUAUUUAGGCCAUUAGAUUUUUUUAAAAAAUUUAAAUUAGUAAAAAUAAAAUUACACUUUAAUCUCCUUAAAAUUAUAAAAAAAAUUAAUUUAAUUAUUUAAAAUUUAUAAAAAUAUAGACUAUAAAAAAUUAAAAUUUCAAUCACCCCUCAAAAAUUGUUCUAGCUUCGCCUUUAGGUGGGUUGAUUCAAGUCAGAUUUAUAUAUGGUAUUGACAAAAUUUUUGUUUGCCCAAAACCUUACUAGACUUGAAAUAUGAGUCUCGAAUUUUGGCCAAAUUUCAUUUUUAUAAAUAAUUAACUUAAACUCGUUUUAAGCUCACCUAUAUUUUUUUUAAAAUUAUGUUUUUAAUUAAAUAUUCAAUAACUUUAUAUGUUUAAUAUAUUAAUGUUUACCUAGUAUUACAUAUUAUUACAAAUUUAAUUUUCAAGUCAUAUAAAUUACCUAAUAUAUUAGAAUAAAAAAAAUAUGUUACAAUAUGAAAAAAGGAUUAGAGUAUGCAGGGUUUGAGAUUAAAUCUAUAUUUUAAUUCAAUUUAUUUUUCGUAUAUAACAUUUUUAUUUAAAUCUUUUCGAAUAACUAAACUUUAAAUAAUUAGAUUCUUGGACAACUUAAUGUAUAAUAAUUUAAUAGAAAACAAAAAACCAUACCAUAAAUAGUACCAUUAUUAACAUACUCUUUUUUUUAAUAUUACAAUAUUAUAUGAUAAUUUCCAAAAGAAAAAAGAAAUUAAAAUUGCGGUGUGGGAAGUGACGUAAGGAAAGCCACGCGGGGGAUCGUCGAAGGUACGUAAGGCACGCAAAGGCAUGGUCAUUGGGCACUACCGCACGCCACUUUUAACCAACAAACAAUUGACCACUAUGCAUUCACUAUUCAACGCUUGAAUUCUGACCUAUAAUAAUUAAGCUUCUAAAAGAAAUAAUACUUUUUUUGGCAAUUUCUUUAAAAAAAUCAUUUUAUAUUAUUAUUUACUGAAAUAGUCAAUUUUUUUAUUAUUUACCAAAAAUAAUCAUUUUCCCUGAGAGUGCGUCCACGUUAGCACAAAGUCAGGGGACGUGUCAGCAAAACACUCCCCAGGGAAACGUUUUGCCCUUAACGGUCACAUGACCGUUUCAUUUUUUCACACAAUAGUCCUCUCACAAUUCUCUCUAAAUUCUCUCAAAUUUCUCUCAAUUUUUGUCAAAGCUCUAUCUAAUUUUUGCAAAAAAAUUCUGUUUAAUUUUUUUUGAAUUAGUUUUAUUUUUAUAUUACAAAAAUAUUCGAUCCUGUUAGAAAUGGCCGGAGAAUUAGUUCGUCUCGAUACGAAACAUAUCUCCGUCGAUCAAAUGACAAUGGUAAGUAAUAAGUUUAAUUAAUUUUUGAAUAAUUUUUAAUUUUUUUUCAUUUAUGCAAUUUUAAUUAAUAUUUAUUUUAUAAUUUUUUAUAACAAUCUGUAGAUCGAGUGUUGCAGUGCUAAAUUCGUAAUACUUUUGGUCCUCCAUCGCCGUUGAUAGAGAAUUACCUACGGGAAGUGGGUUUUUGGCACGUGGCCACGAUAGGCCGGGGGUGCAAGUUGGACCCGAAACUAAUCAGAGCAUUGAUAGAGAAGUGGAGACCCGAGACGCACACUUUCCAUCUUCCAUGCGGAGAGUGUACUAUCACUCUGUAAGACGUUCAAUUGCAAUUGGUAUUGCCGGUCGAUGAGUACGCAGUCACUAGAUCCGCUCAAUCUGCUGAUUAGGGGGCCGUCUGCUACGAGCUUUUGGGUGUUAUUCUGGAUAAUAUUAAUGGAGGUCGGAUCGAGAUAGGCUAGUUACGAGACACAUUUUCAGAGUCGGAUAAUGAUUCGACUGAAUUAGAAAGAAUACGAUAUGCUCGGGCAUACAUUCUUAAGAUGAUUGUAGGUUAUCUGAUGCUAGACUUGUCAUGAAACCGCGUACAUCUGAUAUGGCUGCUGAAACUCAUUGAUUUUAGAGCAACAGGUGAAUUAAGUUGGGGGUCUGCCGUGUUAGCAACAUUGUACCGGGAGAUGUGCGAGGCGAUGUGACCGAAUAAAGCCAAAAUCGGAGAAUGCCUAUCACUACUGCAAUCAUGGGCAUGGCUUCACUUUCCAUUUUUACGUCUUCAAGUGAACCACCCAUAUACAUUUCCACUAAUAACGAGGUAAAUUUAUAUUAGAUUUUAUAAUUAUUAGAUAGAUUUAAAAUAUAAUUGUAUGCUAAAAAAAUAUUUAAUUAGGUGGAACCAUUCGGCGAGUUAUGUUGGAAUACCUACAUCUCUUGAAGAUAUACAACUUCUAUUAGACCGACGAUCGGAAACAUAAGUAAAUAUUAAAUAAAAUAUAUAUACAUAAUAAAAUAGUUGUUUCGUAUUUAGUAUUUAAUAUUUAGUAUUUAGUAUUACCUAUAUAACUAAUAUUUUUAUCAUGUUUAUAUAGUUUCAAUGGACACUAUACGAGGAUUUGGCAAAUUGGACAAUAAUUCCAGAUGAAUUUUUUUAAAAUCCAAACAUUUGGCAUGUGAAGGUCCCAUUGGUCAACUAUGCUAUCGUGGAGAUGCACCAGUCAAAUAGGGUAUUGCCACAAUUUGGAUUCCGACAACUGAUUUUUGUGGAACCUAAGGUGCUCGAUUAUAAGCACAAAGUCGACUUACGGCUAUUGAAUACAAAUUGGCCGAGACACUAGUCAAAAUAUAUCGAAAUGUGGGAAAAUCGGUAUGACUAUAUACCUACUCGGGAACCGAUCAUCAUUCCGGAUUUAGCAUGCGUGCCGGAAUACAUGCCAUGGCUUAGGAUCCAUGACAAGCCAUAUUUACUGUCGGAAGAGGAGACGUCACGACAAAUUCGUGUGCAAAGGGAACAACGGGGCCCUUUAAAUCCAUGAAGAAGGGAUGACGACGUGAGCCCAUCAACAGCGCCCACACAAUCACCAGGCCUAUUAACAGCUCCCACACAACCACUUGGCCCAACACUUCAACCGACGACACCCAUAUCACAGCCUUUUCAGAUUAUGCCAAGUGCGUAUCUUAGCCCUUAUAUGUAUUCUAAACCUUUUAUGUUUCCUUUUCCCAGUCUUAUGGCAGGUUGGAAUGCAUGACCCAGUUCAUCUCCAUUCCUAAUUACUUUGAGUCAACCGUCGAUCAAUAGGCCACCGUCGCAUAAGGGAUCGUAUGAGGUGCCGUCGGAGAGCUCUUUUUUUUUACCAUUCCCCAUCGCCUUAUGGAAUUCAAACACCUCCACCAUGAGUGAUGCAAAUACCUCUGCAUUCAUUAUUCUAUCAAUGUGGGUCAUCCUCCCAACAUUCACAACUAGAUCCCCUGCUGGAGGAACCACAAUCCCCACCAGAGCAACCACAACCUUCGCCGGAAGCUGAACUAAGGAGGAAUCCAGCGUGUAACCGUCGACAACCCCCAUGUGGUACUGAUUUCGACCGAUACCAACAUUGAUUUUUUUAAUAUAUUUGUAGAAACUUUUUUUAUAUAGUUUCAUAUAAUAAAAUAAAAGUUGUUUUUAAUAUUUUAAUUGUACUUUACUUUUUUUUAAUUUUAUUAAAAUAAAUGUUGUUUUAAAUUAGGCAAUAUUUUUAUUUUUUUAUAUUUGAUAAAAUAAAAGUUCUUUUUAAUAUUUUAAUUGUAUUUUACUUUUUUAAUUUUAUUAAAAUAAAUGUUCUUUUAAAUUAGCCAAUAUUUUUAUUAUUUUUAUAUUUAUUUUUAUAUAGUUUUAAUUAAUAAAAUAAAAGUUGUUUUUAAUAUUUUAAUUGUACUUUAUUUUUUAAAAUUUUAAUACAAUAAAUGUUCUUUUAAAUUAGUCAAUAAUUUUUAUUAAAAUAAAUGUUAUUUUGAAUAUGACAAUAUUUUAAAUAUUUUUUAUAUUUUUAAUAAAAUAUAAAUAAUGCAACAUAAUUUUAUUACAACAACUAUCAGCUAUAUUGAUUUGGACAUGAUUGAGUUAUAUUAGUCAAUAAUUUUUAUUAAAAUAAAUGUUAUUUUGAAUACGACAAUAUUUUAAAUAUUUUUUAUAUUUUUAAUAAAAUAAAAAUAAUGCAACAUAAUUUUAUUACAACAACUAUCAGCUAUAUUGAUUUGGUCAUGAUUGAGUUAUAUGGCCUAGGUUCCUAUACUAUCCGCACAACCUCUGUUGGUUUGUUGUUUCUCGGAUAUCCAUAUAGUUACGUAUUCUGGUCGAGUAAGGUUGACCUUUUGGUUUACGACGCAAUUCUCUAUCCGGUAACAGAAUAAACGGAGCAAGCGAUACAGACAGCCACUUACGUUCAUUUGGGAUCAGUAGGAAUACGUGUCUCCACACGUUGUACAUGUAUUCUAUUUUGUACACUUGGUCAACAUAUGUCAUGGGAUCCAGACGGAGAUUCUAACAAGCUGCAAUUACAUGAGCGCAUGGAUAACGUAGUGCGUCAAACACCCCACAGUCGCAUGUCCUAUUUCUCAAGUGUACACGAUAUUGCCCACCAAUAAUACAUUGGUUCGGUCUGUCAAACUCAAUCACACGAAACCAUAGGUUGUCGCAAUCGUGACACACUUUGUGCAUGUGUUGGUUCGUGCCUUCGCCUUGUUAAUCUCUCGCAAUACCUUCACGUACCAUACAUGGCCUCCCUGCAUUUGGCCUUUAUAACUCGCUGCUUGCUUUGGAAAUAGUGCCGCUAAACGAAAAUAUGUCUCUCGUACAACGGCUGUUAUCAGUAAAUGAUGCUUUCCUUUUAGAACAGAAUUUAUGCAUUCAACCAGGUUUAAGGUCAUAUGACCAUAUCGUAGGCCGCCGUCGUAUGCUUGUGUCCACUGUUUGAAAGGUAUGUUACAAAGGUAGUCUACACCUUCUUUGUUAACUGAACGCAAAAUCGCUAACAUCUCGUGAAAACAGUUCUUACUUAUCUUAUACUCUGCCAAUAUAAGUUGAUAAUGAAAAUUACAUACCACUCUUCCAUUCAGAAUAAACUAAAUAUUACAAACGAAAUUAUAUUAAUAGAGAUUAAAUACUCAUGUUGGUCACUUGCUGUCGUUCAGUUGUAGAUUGUGAAUUGAAUCGAGACAUGAGAUUUGAAGCAUGAACUUAAGGUUCAUAAAUUUGUUAAAAUAUCGAAAUAAGAGGUGAAAAUAGAAUGAAUUUGAAAUAAUGAAAUAGUGUAUGAGUUAAUUGAAUAUAAUCAUAUGAAUUAAUUAUAAUUAUUUUUAUUGAAAAAUGUUGGUUUAAAUAAUUAUUGAAAGACUAACGUUGUAAGGUUUUAGAUAUGAAAUAGAAUAAGUUAUUGAAUUGAGAUAUAGAAAUGAAAUAUAUGAAAUAAUGAUUUUAUGAAAUGGUUAUUGAUAAAAUGCAUGAAAUGAAUAUUGAUAGAGUAAGAAGAUAUAUAAAUUAAAAUGAAGCAAAGCUAUUUAAGAUACAUAUUACUAAGAAAAUUUAAAGUUUUAAAUGCAUGAAUGAUUUAUUGAAAGUAAAAUAGUGGUAAGAUUAAUUGUGCAUAUAUAUUGUUUUUACUUUAAGUAUUUGAAUUAUAGUAAUACCAUUGGGUGUAUACUCAGUGUACGGUUUGUUUCUAAAACAUAAAAAUUAAGUAAAAAGGGCUAAAUUGACUUACCUAUUUAAGCUUCAAGCAUCAAACCCCCAAUUUUCCCUUUUUUUUUUCCUUCUUUCCUUCCCUUAUUUCUUCCGUGCUCUCUGUUCUUUCUCCUUUCUUUUUCUUUUUGUUUCUUUUUUUCGUUUACUUUACUAUAUAUAUAUUAUAAUAAUAUAAUAUAAUAAUAAUUCUUAUAUUAUAAGUAACUAUAUAAUUGUAUUACACAUGUAUGUAUUUAGUUCAUUACACAUGUAUAUUUUAUUAUCGUACAUUUGUCAACUUGUAAUUUAUUUCAUAAUAAAUAUCAAUUUAAUAAAAAUAACAUUAAUAAAUAUUAAAUGUAAAAACCAUAAUAAAUAAUAAUAAUAAUUUAAUAUACAUAUUUAUGCAUAAAACUUAGGACAAAUGGCAUAAUUUCCAUUUUAGUCCUCUUUAUUUUCUUUUAAUCUACAAUUAAACUUUCACACUUUAUUCAAUUUGGUCUUUUUACUUAAUUACUCUUAAUUAAAUUAAAUUUACUUAAUUAAACUCUAAUUAACCACUUAUUUUACUUCGUAAAUAUUUUUAAUAAAUAUUUAUGAAUCCGUUUUUUAGAAACGGAGACCCGAAAAUACACUUUUCCGAUUACAGUAAAAUUUGGGUCGUUACAAUGUUCCUACUAGUAGUAAGGACUAAAUUAUAAAUUAUUUAAAUUUAUUAUUUAUCCGUUUUUAUGUUCUAAUAUAUUACUGAUUAGCCAAGAAUUACUUUGGCACCAAAUGUAAUAAUCCUAUAUUAGGUUCCUUGAGUCGAACAUGAUAUAGGGGUGUUACAGGCGACCAUGACCCACUUGGAUUGUGUAUUUACGAUAGUCCAACCAAACAAAUUACUAUGAGAUUACUACAAGAAAGAGUUGGUGAACUUUGUCAGGAUUAUUAUGGCUAAUUGUAUUUAGCUUCUUCUUCCUACAAAAAAAAAAUGUGUAAAAGUAAUAAUACAUACGCAUGUUAUAUGUCUUUUAAUUUUGUUGAUUUGAUUCCCACAUUCUUUCAUUUUUGAACAUAAUUCUCAUUUUCUUUAUUUGAUGGAAAUUCACGAUAUGAAUUCUAUGAUCAGUUUACAACAAUUAUCUCUCUAUAACUGGCAAAAUUUGGGUAGACAAACGUGGUUGUUAUUGAGAGGGUUGUUGUAUUUAUAUUCAUUCUUUGACUUUUUUUUUUGUCAUCUGGUAAUUUAUUUUGAAUCUCAAUUAAAUUCAAAAUUGAGUCGAGCCAAAUCUUUAAAAGGGAGAGUAGCUCUUUCAAUGCUAUUUUUUUUCCAAUUCUACUUAAAUAUUGUUGUUUAAAUAGGAUCAAGAUCGAUUAUUAUACAUGUUUGAACAGAGGGUUAGAACAAUUUUAGAGUGAACUAGGGUGGCAGGACGGGGCAAGCAGAGGCCUUGGCCCUCCCUUCCCCACCCCCACCCCCACCCCCCCAAAAAAAAAGAAUAAAAAAAUCACAUUUAUUAAUUAGCAAUGGUAAAAUUGCAUUUUGGCCUCCAGAAUGAUAUAUUUUAAUUUAAACCUUUAAAAUUAUAAAGAUAUUAGCUAAUACAAUGGUAAAAUCACAUUUUAACUCUUAUAAAAAUUAUAACAUAAUUACACCCCCUAAAACAAAUUCUAAUUCUGCCUCUAAAAAUGAACCACUGAAAAUCGAAGUUGAAUCACGAAUCAUGAACCAGGUGAACCAAUUUAUUUAUGUUUUUAGCCCAAAUUAAUGACUCAAAUCGAAAAAAAGAAACACCAACUCAUCCAACUCGAAUAAUUAAACCAACCAACAAAAUCCACCUAAAUACUUAAAAAGAUGAAAAAUAAAAACUAACUUAAGUCAGAGUAAAUAAUUUAUGUUUACAUCAUUAUUAAUAUUUAUUUAUACUUGUAAUUUUUUUAAAAAAAAUUUCUAAUUUUAUUUUACUUACUUUUUAAAAUUUAAAAUUUAUAAAUUCAUUCAACCAAUUGAAACUAAUUUCAAAACCAUUGACUUAGUAACAUCAAACUUUAAACAAUUGUAGUUUUUUUCUUUUAACAAUUUUAUUAUAAGUUUUAAUUAUAUUUAUUUUUUUUACACAAAAUUAUUUAUAGCUCCUCCUCAAUCAAUAAAUAAGAGGAUAGUGUAUUUUAACGCACUCGAAUCCGCAUCCUCUUACAUUAACAAUAAUUAUAAAAUUACAAAUAUAAUAUAAAAGUCUUACCUCCUAAAUCAAUUUUUGUUGUUUUAUGAAGUUAUCAACAAUUCGUCCAAAUUUCCUAUAAAAAAAGAAAAUCAAAUUCGACGAAAUUAAUUAACGUAACGUGAAUCACGCACUUUAUAUUAGUUAAUAGAAGAAAAAAAUAAUAACAAUUGUUGUGAAAAGGAACUACAAUUAAUUUUAUAAAAAAAUAUAUUAAUAUUUAACAUUAUUUAGUGUAGAAUUUGUUUAGUAUUAAUAUACCAUUAAAAUUUAACUAUACAUAUUUGUCUUUAAAACUUUUAAUAGAAUAACAACAAAUAAUUUAUUGUUAGUAAAUAAAUUUACACAUAAAUAUCAUAUGAAAUAAAAAUUAAAAAAAAUUAUAGAACUAAUGAGGCCUUGACACAGUUAAUAAAAAUGGAGCUAUGAGUCUUUGAGUAUUUGUCAUAUACAAUUGUCAUGUGCGAUUAGUCCCAUCAUAUGUUGUUAUUGUGUUUAAAUUUUAAUCCUGUAGGUUAGUUUUAAUUCUAAUUAUUCGGAUUUUUAGUCCAUUGAUAUUGAUGUUAAUUUAACCAAACAUACAUUUCUCUAAAAAAAAACGAAGGUGAAAAAAAGUAAUAGGUAUUUGUACUAUUAACAUAUUUGGAAUUUAAUUUUUAUAUAUUUUUAUUUUUAAGAAAUUAAAAGAAAACAAUUAAUAUAUAGAUUAAAAAUAGGAAAAAAAACAAACAAACAAAUAAGACAGAGUUCGGUCGGCAAAUAAUAUGAAGUAAUGGAAGGAAGAGUGAAGACAAUGGGGGCAUGCCCUAUCAUAAUCGUAAAAUUAAUUAAUUAAAUUAAAUUAAAUUAAAGCCGCUACACCUUUUUAUUUAAAUUUCCUUUUGACAAAUUGCAUUUUAUAACGUACAAGGAAGAAAAGCGUGAAAGUCACUUCCAUCUAUUUAAAUUUUAAAGGCCCUACACCUAUGUCACAAAUUCAAUACACACAAAUAAUAUAUUUGUAGUAAUUUAUUUUUUCUUUCAUAUUUCAAUUAUAUUUUUUUAUUCUCUAUUUAGUUAUAUACAUCAAGUAAGUUUGUUGAAAUUCUAUAAAAUAUAAAUCUUUUUACUAGAAUCUCGAUAAUGAUCAUCUCUUGAUGUUUAAAUAAACAAAACUUAUAAGUUUAAUCUAUCUUCAAAAAGAAGGUAAGUAACUUAAGAAUUAGCGGAACUCUUCCAAACUAUUUUCGCAACUCUUUAAACACUCUCAAACCCCAAUUACUGAUUCUUGACUCUCCGUGUGAACUAUUUCUAGUUUCCUAACACUAAACCUUGUAUCAACAACCGGCAUUGUUCGUGGGAAACAAAGCAAAAACCAUGUCUCUACCAUAUGAAAACAACCCCAACUUGUCAUACCAAAGCAUUCCAACCGACGUUCAACAAUAAUAGACUUCCUGCUAGGGGUGUAAAUGAGUCGAGCGGAAAUAGAUAGCGGCAAGCUGAAGCUCGAUUGGAAAUUCAAGGCUUGAUACUAGGCUCGAGCUUGAUGAACAUCAAUAUCUCAGCUUGAACUCAACUUGAGACAUAAUUGAGCUACUCAAGCUUAAGCUUCAUUAGACUCGUUUUUUCAAUUUUUGAACUCAAGCUCAACUAAGCUCAUUCAUACUUAAGCUUUUUUCUAUAUAAUAAGGAUAAUGAUAUAAUUUCAUAAUAUAAAAAUACAUUAAAAAGAAUAGCUUGAUUAGGCUUGUGAGUUGUUAGAAUUGAGUAUUAUCAUGUUCAAAUUCAACUUAAACGAUAGCUCGAGCAACUUGAGCUCGAUAAUUACUAAAUCAAAUUUGAAUUUUGUAAAUUAAACUCAAAUAUCAUAUGAGCAUUGAUGUCUCAUUUACACUACAACUCCCUCUUAUAUUUCUUUCAACUUUGCCUCAAAGGCUUCCACUACCUUCAUCAGGUGAGCAACCUUCCUUUGCAAUGUCAUAUAUAUAGAGAGAGAAACCUAAGCUACCUGAAAAAAAAAAAAAACCCACCCUUCGUUUGUUUUCAAAUAAGCGCAGUCAUCCUUUUGCUUGGUCAUAAUCUUAUUCUUUGAGCUAAACUAAUCGUAAUUGUUAUGUCAUGGUGAUGUCAUACUUAUAUUAAUUAAUGAAGUUACAUGCUCCUUGUUUAGGAAGCAGUCCCCGUGUAAAUAAUAAGACAACUAAAAAAAAAUCAACAAUAAUAAAUUAAACACCUAUUUUAACCCUUUAACAAUACUAAGGCUAAUCUCAAACCUCAUGUGAUGGCUUGAUAGCCAAAAGUGUUCACCACCUUAAGUGUAGUCUGGGUUUGAGUCACAAUAGUCAUGUUUAUUGUUCGGACUUUGCCCUGUUAUUGUAAUUCACCAAAUACUAAGGUAAAUCUCUAUGUAUUAUUUUUUCUUAUCAAUAUGCAUGGUAUAAUGAGUUUCAAUAUUCAAAAUUUUUUUGGUAUAAUCACAAGAGUACUCUUUUGUUUUACAGUCUAAUAGUGUUAUACUUCUCCACCACUCGGACACAUGUCAAUACUAGAAGUAUUGUUGACUUCAUUGUUGACUUCAUGAAAUUUUGUUCACAUGAAAUUUUGAUUAUGAUUCAAAUGGAUAUAUGAAAAUUUAAUAAGACAACUAAAAAAAUAAUAAUUCAACAAUAAUACAUUAAACACCUAAUUUAACCCAUUACCAAUACUAAGGCUAAUUUCGAACCCCAUGUGAUGGCUUGAUGGUCAAAGGUGUUCACCACCCAAGUUAUGGCCUGGAUUUGAGUCACACUAGUCAUAUUUAUUAUUUGGCUUUGCCUUAUUAUUGUGAUUCAUCAAAAAAAAUACUAAGGCUAAUCUCUAUGUAUUAUUUUUUGUUAUCCACAUACAUGGUAUAAUGAGUUUCAAUGUUCAAAUUUUUUUUUGGUAUAAUCAUAGGUGUACUCAUCUGUUUUAUGGUCUAAGAGUGUUAUACUUCUCCGCCACUCGAACACGUGUCAACAUUAGAAGUAUUUUUGACUUCCUUGUUGACUCCAUCUAAAACUAUGCAUUACCUGACCAUCUUUUCUCAACACUCUUUGGUGAGACCAUCCGUCCCUUCCUCAAAGGAGCUAGCCACCCACUUUUUAAGUAUGAACGCUCUUCAGGUGUGAACACUCUUUUAAGGCUAUAAGGGAUCCAGUUGAGUGUAACAAUCUUAUACUAAUUGAAUGAAUAAUGAAAUGGGCUCCACAAUACACGUCUUUCACGCAAGAAUAAUUUUAUUCAUGGCAAUUUGUCACAUCACACUAAUGGAAAAAGGGGCUUCUAUAAAUACCCUAAUCAACGAUGAAGAAGAGAUUAAUUUUCAGCACCCUAAAAUUACUCUGAGUAAUUGCCCUCUCAGUCUGUCAUUUUGUCCUUAUUCUGGCUCUUGGCCUUUUUAGGUGAACCAGCCUCCACGGCCCCGCCUUGACCCUCCUCCCUUGUUGUACACUGUAUCAACAAAGAGUAAUCAUAUUCGGGUUAGGAUGGUAUUAAGGUAAAGUCCUUCCAAUAAUGACAAGAUUGGAACUUGGUUGAAAUACCUAAAGAAAUCUACUACUAUUUUUUUCUAGUCACUUAUUGAUAAGAUUGAACCUAAUUAAUCCAUCAAUGAAAGCUUGCACAAAUUCUUAAAUUGGUAUCUAUCUCCUUAGCUUUGGAUCUUAUGAUUGAAUCACUUAAAAACUUUUAAGUCUUGAGUGCAUCUACUCCAUUUCCAUAACCUUAGUUGGGUUCUUGAAUAUCUUGCUUGCCUUCCAUACUAUUAUUAGAUAAUCAAACUAAAAAUAUUGUAACAAUAUCUAGCACUUCAUUAAUAUGAAAAUAUUUUUCAAAUAUUACAACCCAAUUAAUUAGUUUUCGAAAAAUAUAUAUUAAACAAAUGAAGUAAUUGUGGAUAGCAGCUUCUAGCCAAACUUUGUCUCUGUAUAAUCAAACUGACGAAAGCAUAUAUAAUAUUAAAAGGAUAAAGGCAUACAAUAUUAAUCACAUGAAUUAUAUAAACUCUUCAUCAAAUACCAAAAAAUUGCUUCUUCUCAUUUGGACCAUUUUGCUAAACCUUUCAUUUUAUUUUUUAUUUCCAAAGUCAGAAUUGUUAAAUUAUAUUGUAAGAUGCCUUAAUUUAUUCAAUGUGAUAUAUAUAUAUAUAUAUAAUGUAUUAAACAAAAUUCCAAACAGAUAUUGAUAAUUUUAAUAGUUUAUUAUCUUUAAUUUGUUAAAGUUGUAUGACUUAAAUUCUUGUUAAAGGAAAAAACAGUGGUAAAAUAGGAGGAUCUGUGGCAAAACAGGCUGUACAAUGAAAUCCAUAUAGAAAUAGACUUAUUCUAUUUGAUACUGAUUGGAAUAAGGUGUUUCUACCUUAUUACACUGUUUCUAUUUGACAUUGAUUAGAAUAAGAUUUUUUUCAACCUAUAAAUAGAUUUAGUCUAAACUCUUCUUUUACCAUUCGAAUUCGACAUUAGUGAUUUUUUUCUCCUCUACCAGUGAUUUUUUUUCCAAAAAAGUUUCCACGUAAAAUAUGAGUGUUAUUAUUAUUAUUUUUCUUUCUUUUUGCUUUGAGAUCGUUCUAUAGUGUCCUUGUCGACGUUCAACUUUUACAAACUCCAUACUAAUGAGGGAAAAAUAACAAAAAAAAAAAAGUGAAGUAAACAAACACAUUUUUAUAAAAUUUUCUAAUAUUAAUGUUUUAGUAAUCCAACAUCAUAUUUCAUAUUUUAUUCAUACUGAUCGUACAUGUCAAGUUUGGAGUAAAUUAUUAUUUUUAGAUAUUUAUUUUUUGUAAAAAAUUUCAACUAUCGUAUAUACAUAUAUAUAUUUUUAAAAUUUGGAAAUAUCAUUAACUUUUUCAGCCUUUUUUAAAGGAGAGUUUUUUAUUUUAGCCUUGAAAGCUUACGGAAAGGAUUGUAUGAAACUGUGAUUCCACAUCAUCCCUAUUCCUUCCCAAUAGGAGAAUGACAAAUCGGAAAAAGUUAAAAAUUAGGAGGAAAAAUCUGAUUUAUCAUUCUCCUAUUAGAAAGGGAUAAGAAUGACGUGAAAUCACAAUUUCAUACAAUUCAUUCUCUGAAGGCUUAAGUGGUUAUAUCUUGGCCUUGAAAAGUUAAAGAUUGUAAUUUUUAUUAAAAUGACCCUAAAUUUUUAAUAAAUUUUAAAAAGAACAACCUUACCAUCCUAAUGACUUUUAAAUAAAAACUUCAAAAUAAUUCAGUAAAUUAAAUGAAAACUUUUGAAUAAUUCAAUGAUUAUUUUAUAAUUUUUUAAAAUUAAAUGACCAAAAUAUAAACUUACAAAUAUUCAGAUAUUGGAUAUAGUUUUUGUUUUUAAUACAAAAAGGAGGCUCAGCAAUAGCAACAAAAGGACUAACAAUACUUGCUCCUUCCUUGGUUCCUAAAGCCUUUAUGCCUUGAUGGAUUCAUUUGUUCCCAUGGCUUGUAGCACCGUGCACUGCCCAAUACUCCUUCCAUAUCCCAGGAGCCAAUUAUUACAGGGGCAAAUGCAAGGGGCAGGUACACAUCUUGCCCCAAAUUAGUAAAAUUGCAUUUAAGAUCCCUUAAAAUUUUAUAUAAAAUUAUAAAUUAAUGUAACAUUAAAAUUAUCGAUUAUAUUUUGUUUAAUGCCAAAAUAUAUGCUCAUUUCCCUUGUUUGAAUAUAAAGCCAUUUGUAAUUAUAAUUUUCUAUUCCUAAUUAUAAAUUGCAAAUGAGAAUUUUAUUCAUCUUUACAUUUGUUUUUCAACAUUAAGCAUAAACUAGUGGAAUCCAUGUGAAUCUCAUAAAAAUUUUCCCAUUUAACACAUGUUUUAGAAAAUUGAAAUUUAGAUCCACUUUUUGAAUAAAAAAAAAUACAUUUUUCAUCGAUCCAAAUAGUUGAAUGUAUCCCAUAAAAAAGGGGUUGAAUCUAAAUUUGUGAAAACAAAACCCAUUCAUAUUAAUUAUUUUAUUUCAUAGUUAUAUUCUGCUAUUAAUUUUUGUACUUCACAAAAUUCUUAUAUUUUUCAAAUGUUCAAAUUUCAGUUGUCACCAAACGAUAACUGUUAAAUUCAUCAAGUUAAGUUUAGUUAUUUCUAAAACCUAAUGUGCCAAACAUAUGAUCAUAUGUGUAAUAUCAUGUAAGCUUGUUAUUUCCACACAUUACUCACUAAAAAUUCAGUUAAUGGGUUAACGAUUACCAUUCAAGUCAAGAUUGAAAUUUCAAAAUUCGAAAAAAUACAAGGACUUAGAAUGAUUAAAUUGUAGAAUAUGGACCAAAUUUUACAAUUGUAUGCAUCUCACGAGAUUGAUAAUUGAAUUCAACCAAAAUGUACAAGGACUAAAAUUGACAAUUUAAAAGUACAAUGACUAAAAUUAAUCAAAUUAAAAGUAUAGAAACUAGAUGACACAACUUUCAUAAAGUAUAGGGACUAAUAGCAUAAUUUAACCUAACUCUUAAUAAGUAAAUGAAUUAUGUAGUUGAUAAAGAAAAUUUGUCAAAUGAGUAAAUUAAUAUGGAUUAAUAUCACCAUGAAUAUAAAUAAGAAACAUUAAAAAAUCAAAUUAAUAAACCUUAUCCACUUUGCGUCCUCUGCCAUUAGACUUCAUCUACAGGCUAAAUUAAUGCUAUUAAUAUGUGGUAGAGGACAGCAAUUGGUUGAAUCAAUUGAUUUAGUCGGUUUUUUCGAAUUAAUUUAAUCGAUUUUAAUAUGAAAAAAUUGAUCAUAGAUUAUUGAGUUGAGUUUAUAUGAUUAUGUAAGAAAAUAUAAUAUUUAAUGUAGUAUUAAUAUGUCAAUAACAAUAAUAAUGCAAUACAAUGCAAUAACAGUAACAUAACAGAUCAUACUUAUAAUUAAGCAGAGUUGAAAAUUAGAAGAAGAAUUUUGUUGAGGCCUGUAUGAACAGUUUCCUUAAGACAGAUUCAACAUCUCCUCAGUGCUUUGAGUAACGUUGGACGUCUAUCUUCCAGGAUACAUCAACAAAUGAUAACAGUCAGUAGUAGCACAACAAUAUUUAUCAAUCAAACACACCAGGAGGAAUGAAUUUAGAAGGAAUUUUUUAUAUUGAUGGUUUUUGAUUAUGUGUUUUGAAAGUCUCCUAACUUGGCUUUAUAUAGAGGAGAGGAAAUAAAUGAAGAGAUUUAGACCGAUUCAUGAAGAGUUUUGUUGAAAAGUUAAUAGAUAUAAGUGAACAGACACAAUAAAUGAUGAGAUGUAAUAUUAAACCAAAAGCAAUAAAUCUGUUCAUGAUCAAAAGAUACAAUUGUUCAAAAGAUACAACUGUUCAUCAAGAGGUAAAACUAUUUUUUAAUUUAAGUAUCAAUUUAUCAUUCUUCGCUCAACAAUUUUAAGCAUAUUAUAUAGAAUAUAAAUUCAUAAUUUAUUAUUCAAGCCUUUAAUUUUAUCAAUAAAAUAAUAUACUUCAAAACUCCAACAUAUCCAUUAUUUUCUAACAAUUUAUAUUUUUAUUAUAUAUUACAUAUUUUAAAUAAUUUUAAAAUAAUAUAAAACAAGUCAAAUUUUUAAAUUAAAUUUAAAUAUUAUUAAACUCAAAUUUGAAUCAAUGAAUAAUUUAAAUUCAUCUCAAUAAUUACUAAAUCGGAUUUGAAUAAUUUUCAAACAUUUAUUCUGAUUUUCGCCCACAGAUGUACGUGUAAACCAUUGGGAAUUACCGAAACCACCCCUAGGCAAAAUAGAACUUGUCUUGUCGUGUAAUAGACUUGUAGACAUUAGGUGGUUUAAGAACUUUAUAUCAACCCAUCCAUAUCCUUCACGUGCCCCACAUUUCCUUCCAAUUUGCCCACUUGCAUUUUAUAAGUUUCAUCCACUUCCCAAAAGACAAACAUACAAUUCAUACAACCCAAACUUUUUAAUUUAUUAAUUUAUUUUAAUUCAAAUUUUAGUUUGUGUCAAUUUAGGAAUUGAGUUAGAUAAAUUAGUUCAUAUGUAUUAGAUUAAAUUAUAAAUUUAUAUUUUUAUUAAAUUUUUCAUCUAUUUUUAAAUAAUUAGGAUAAAAUGUAAUUAAACUCUUAGCAUAAUGGCUCAUAAUUACGUAAUUGAUAUUUGUUACUAUUUUAAUGUUAUGUUUUAGUUAAAAUGUCAAACAUCAUAAAAAGAUUCUGAGCUUAUUCGAGUUCAUUUUAAAAAAGAAAAUUGAGGGGAGGAUCAAAUUAUAUUAAAUUAAAAUUUAGAAAUCAAAUCUCCGUAUUAAAUAUAGUAUAAGGAUGAAAAUCUGAAAUUUAACAUUUAUUUUUGGUAAAAAUAUCUCUCUAGCCUCUCUUAAUUUUGAUAUUUAGUAAAUUGGUUUUUCUUAAAAACAUUAGAACAACAAUGAAAAUCAGAAGUUGACAUUUAUUUUUGGAAAAAAAUCUCUCCAAUCCCUCUCAAUUUUGAUAUUGAGGAAAAUGGUCCCUCUAAAAAAAAUAGAGUAAUUUAAUCCCAUCAAUUUCGAAAUGGAGCAACUAAAGAUAAUUAAUUACAAUGUUAAUAUUUUUCAUCAAUUGUACAUAAUUUUUAUUGGUAUAAUAACAAAUUUAACUCUCAAAAUUUGUCAAUUUAAUAUUACUUUAACAAAUUUAACCCACAACAUUUACACAAAAUAUAUAAACAUCAAUUGCUAAGUUCAUUAUAAUACCAAUCAAGAUUAUAUAUAAUUAACAAAACAUACGUAAAUAUCAUGAUUAAUUGUCUUUAAUUACUCACUUUUAAAACUAAAUUACUUUAAAUUUUUUAGAGGGACCAAUUUGCUCAAUAUCAAAAAUUAAAAAAAAAUUACAAAAGUGUUUUUACUUUUAUUUUACUCUUACGUAAUUUUAAUUUUCUUUUCUCAUCUAUAAAUACCCUCUAUCUCUUUUUAACUUGUGUCCAUUAACAAUCUCUUUGUCCUCCAUUUUUUUUCUCUUUGAUUUUUCAUUGCUUUACACUAUUUGAUCAAUCAGAAGCUCAACCCUAAAAGUUUCAUUAGAAUGAACAGUGUUAACCUUUCUCAUCAAUAUCCUCGAACAUCAAGCUUUACUUAACUCUUGCUUGACAGAACACUGGGGUGAUUUGCCCUUAAAAGUCGAUGACUCUGAGGACAUGAUCAUCUACAAUUCCCUUCAUGAAGCUCUUAACUUCGGUUGGUCACCGACGACGACGGGUUCAACGGCGGCAACUACAAUUAAACCUGAGCCGAAAGAUGAAUCAGCAGAGAUCAUGGAAAACGCGAAGCCAAUGGAGUUGACUCAAAAAGUGGUGAAAGGGAGACAUUACCGUGGAGUUAGGCAAAGGCCGUGGGGGAAAUUUGCGGCGGAGAUUAGGGACUCAGCUAGGAAUGGAGCAAGAGUGUGGUUAGGUACGUACGAGACAGCUGAGGAAGCUGCUUUGGCUUAUGAUCGAGCAGCUUAUAAGAUGCGUGGUUCAAGGGCUUUGCUUAAUUUCCCGCAUCGGAUCGGUGACAAUGAGCCUGAACCUGUUAGAGUUAAGGCUAAACGUGGGGCAACAAAUGACUCGGUUUCGUCCAAUGGUUCAUUUCCUAAGAGAACGAGAAGCUUGGAAGCUAACAAGGCUGAGUUGACCACUGUGUUUCAACUGGGUCUAUUGCAGGUUGGGGAACAGUUAUUGGUGAAUUAAAAAUUAUCAGAACUUUAAAAAUGAUGUUGAUGAGAGAGACGGAUGCGAACCUCGUAAAAGAUAAUCUCCAUGAACUAUAAUCUUAAAAAAUAUUUUGUUGGUUUAUUGUAAAGCAAAUUGAAGUUCUGUGAAUAGAAAAAUGCAAUAGUUUUUUUCCUUUGAUUUUGCAAUGAGAAUAUAAACAUAAAGCUCUGAAAAGUAGGAUUUGUUCCUUUUCUAAUACUAUUUGAUAUAAUUUUAAUUAUUAUUAAGUAUUAUUUUCACAAUUUACGCGUAUAUCUUAUACAAUUAAACGGUAAUUAUUAAUUUAUUGAAAAAUAAUGAACGAAAAAAUAAUGAACUGAAUUUGAAUUUAGAUGUACUAGAACUUGAACAUAAGCUAACAUUAACCUGUCAUAAGUAGAGAGGGUAUCACCAAAAGACCUAGCAGAGUCCAGUCUCCUUAAAAUGAAAAAAUAGCAUUAUCACCUAAAAAUGAUAUAAAUUUAAUUUAAUUUUUUGUAUUACAAUAAUAAAAUUAUAUUUUAACUCUUAUAAAAAUAUAUAACUUAAUUUCAAUUUCCAAAAAUAAUUUCUAACUUCGUUUUUAGUCAUUAAAAUAAAAACAUAUUAGUUUAAAGCUUGUAAUCAAACACAAUUGUUAACUUUGUAAUAAAAAAGGGAGAGGGCAUUGCCAUAACUUCUUCUUUUUUUCACUUAUUGGCAAAGAUGAUUUUAUUUCUUUAAUUUUGAUUAUGAUUCAAAUGAAUAUAUGAAAAUUUAAUUUUACUCGAUUGUGUACAUUUAAAGAAAUAAAUAUAUUAAUUUAUUUAUAUUUUGAAUAAAUAUAAUUAUUAUCGUAUGCAAUAUAUAAAACUUAAAAUAGUAUUAUAUCGAUAGUUUUGUUAGUAGUUUAUGAAAAUUAUAUUAAAUCAAAAUUUUAUGCUUAAAAUUAUAUAAAAUAAAAAAUUAUGCUUAAUUUUGAGAUUUAUCCCUCUAUAUAAUGAUAGUGAAAUUUUUAAAAAAUUUGAAAUUUUACUUAUAAAAUGCAAUUAUCUUUGUACUAAUAAAUAUAAUAUUUUUCGUGAAAUAUAAAAAUUUAAGAAAUUGAGGUUACCCAAUAUUUCUUCAUUGCUGUUGAAAAUGUGGAGAUAUCGAAAACAGUAUGACUUUUCAAAUAAAGAAAUUGCAGUGAGUUGGGAAAUUAGGCAUCCGUAAGGAAUUAUUUGUCAAUUUCCAAAUAUCAAUUACUUGUCAACUUAUUGACAUAUUUUAAAAUUAUUUAAGAAAAUUCUUUUUGAGAUAUUUUAUUAGGGGUGAAAUCAAAUUAUUUUUAAGGUGGUAGAAUUAAAUUAUAAAAUUUUUAAAAAUUUAAAAUAUAAUUUUAUUAUUUUUGAAGGGAUUAAAUAAAAUUUUUCAUAUUUUGAGGGGUAAAAUGCAAUCUUAUCGUAAAUUUACUUAUAAUUUUAUUAUUUUAAAGGGAGAAGACAUGCCAACUCCCAUAAUGCCACUUUUAACUUCUAAUAUUCAAUAGAUAUAUUACAUUCUGGUUAAAUUUAAAAUUCACUUAAUUAAAAUUAUUUUUUAUUCAUAAAAUUUGAAAUUAAUUUUUUUUAAGAAGAUCGAGCUCCAUACAAAUCGACUUUUUAAAUAUGAAUAAAAUUUGUUUAAUUUUAAGUUUAGGGUCUGUUUGAUUGAAGGAAUUGAUUUUCCGGAAAAUCAUUUCCAACUUUUCCAGCGUUUGAUUGGCGGAAAACAUUUUCCAUUUGGAAAAUGAACUCCAAAACAAGGGAAAAUGGGUUACAUUUUAGGGAAAAUGUCUUACCCUUUCAAUUUCCGUAAGACAUUUUCCGUACUCUCCUCUCUAUCGCCUCCUUCAUUCAUUCCUUCAUUUCCGGUAGAAAAUUGCUUCCGUUUAUCGAUUUUACAGUAACUUGUUUUUUUAAUUAUUCAAUACUUGUUUUUUUAACACAAUUAGAAAUAAUUUAUUUGAUAUUAAUUUUUUUCAAUUUAUAACGAUUAAUAUUGUAGCUUAAUAAUUGAGUAUUAUUAUAAAUAAAUCAUUGCAAUAUAUGUAAAAAUAAUUUAAAAUAUAAAAAUUUAUUAAUAUAUAUCAAUAUAUGUAAAAACAAUUUUUUCGAAAAAUAUUUCCAGGAAAUCUGCCAAACAGCCGAAAAUAUUUUACACAGAUUCAAUCAAACACCAGAAAAUAUUUUCCAGUAAAUCAUUUUAUAGAAAAGUAAGAUAUUUUCCCGAAAUAAUUUUACGGAAAAUAUUUUACUGACAAUCAAACAGACCCUUAAAUUAUUAAAAUGAAAAAGAAAAACAUUAUUGAGGGUCGUUAGUCGCUAUGAUUAAUUAGUUGAAUUUCCAAGUAGAUGUUCUUUUCAUAUAAAAGCCCAAAAUAUUUUGAUAUAUUUGGGCUAAAUAAUAAUUAUGAAUGAAUGAUUAUUCUUCAUUAUUAUUUUUGGAAUCUUUCCUCUAAUUAUUUCUAUUUUUCUGGUAGAUGAGACAAAUGAUUAGGUUAAUUAGUUGUUAACAAAUGUUUUCAUGUUGGUUAUCUUACUUGGUAUUCAAUUUUAAUAAAUUUUCAUAUUUAGAGAAAAUUUUUUGAUAAGUACAACAAUGCAUAAGCCUAACUGAACCUAAUCAUAGAGAUUUUUAUUUGCAAUGGCUUUUUUAAGGAGUUUAUGCUCGAUCAACUAUAAUUAGGAUAAUGUAAUAUAAAGCAUAAUAGGCUGGAAAUUGAAAUGUAUCUGAACUUAAAUCAAAAUAAAACUUGAUAGGGUCCACAUGGUAAGAUUUAAACUUAAAAUAAUUGGAGAAAAACGCACAUAUAGCAAUAUGAGACUCUAGACCUCAACCUUGCAAUACUUCUUAUCUAACAAUUUUAUAGUGUUCUCGUUAUUUUGUUAAAAAGUAAACAAGAUUAUAAAGUAAAGAGAAAUAUAGAAUAAACAAGAGAGGAGAAUAGAAGAUGAAAUGAUUAUUCAACUUUCACAUUGACCUCUAAUAAGUUUGUACAUACCCUCUAUUUUUAGGGCUUUAAAAAUCAUAAGUUACAAAGCAUUUAGGACCAAUGUUAAUGAUUUAGGGAUUAUGAAAAUUCAUUCUUUAGGAUUUAUAAUAAAGGAUUAUGGAUAUCUAUUUAUCAAUGGAUUUACAACAAAUAACAAUAUUGUUGUGAAUUGAAUGAAAUUACUUGGUUAUAGGUUUAAUAAAAUGGAGUUGAAAAUUGGGUUAUGCUUGGAUUAUAAGCCCAAUUCAUACUUGACCCAACACUACACAAGCUUAUGACCCAUGCUUGGUGUGGUCCAUAAUUGUAACAACUUAAUUUUAUUUUAUGUUGAUGAAAAUCCAAAAAUAUUACAAAGAAAUUCAGUUUUACUUUAUUUUUGAAGUGAGGAAUCGAUUGUGAGUUCUACAACCUAUGGAUGAAUCAGCCCUACCGUGUCGAACCCCGCUGUGGUGGCAGUCGCGCAGCAAUGUCUUAAGACAUUGACAAUAAUAUGAAUCAACACGAUUAAAUUACAAUAUGUGACGUAAUAGUAGUUUAUUUUAUUUUUCAAUUAUGUAGUUGGGGUUUAAUUUUUAUCUAUAAGAAUAAAAUAUAUUCGUAAAUAUUAUUUAUCUUUAUAUUAAAUUUUAUUAUUAAUUUUUAUAUUUUAUUAAAAUUAAAAUUUAAAAAUUUUAAAAAUAUAUAUUUAGAAUAAUUUAAUUAAAGAAUAUAAAUUAAAUCUAUAAAUUUAACUACUAUUAUUUAGAUUAGAUUUGGACUAAAAUUUAAAAAACAAAGACAAAAUAGAAUAAUAAUAGUAAUAAUAAUAAUAAAAUUUAACCUUACCUGUUCGAAUAGCUUCCACGAGAACCCUUUAAUUCUUACAAUACAAGCAUUGGACGUCGUCUUGUUCAAAGAACCUAAAAAAAUCAAACCCGACAAAAAUCAACGUGUCCUUAAACCAAGCCAUUUUUUACAUGCAACCCCUGCAUGAAAGCAUCCUCACCACGUGCCUUUCUUUCUUCUUACACGUGCCCCCUCUUUCCCUUCUAUAUAACCCACCUCUCUCCUCUCUCUCUCUCCAAUAUCAUACAUACCUACAUACUUAAUUUCCAUUUACUAGCAAUUUCUUCAAGUUCUUUUCUUUGUUUUUUUAAUCAAUGGCUGACCACUACCUCCAAAACACUCAACCAAUGACUCACCAAAUGGUGAAAGCCGCUACUGCCGCAACAGCCGGUGGUUCCCUCCUCAUUCUCUCCGGUUUAAUCCUAGCUGGCACCGUUAUUGCACUCACCAUAGCCACUCCACUCUUCGUUAUUUUCAGUCCAGUUCUUGUCCCUGCUCUCAUUGCAACAGCUCUCCUAGCAACGGGUUUCGUUGCCUCCGGCGGUUUCGGUGUUGCAGCUGUCACGGUCCUGUCCUGGAUUUACAGGUCCUUUAUCUUUUCUUCUUUUUUAAUGAUCUCCAAAAAUACCAUGAAAUUUCCUGUACUGUUUUUACUAUUUUUAUUUAAAAAAUAGUAAAUUAGUCUUCAUAUAUUUUCAAAGAUUAAAGAGAGUAAAUUUUAUCAAAGAUCAAAAAGAAAUAUAUUUUCAUUAAAAAUUUCAUAAAUUAGUAUGAGAUACACUUUAAUCCAUUACAUGUUAAAGUAAUGUCAAUUUUUUUAGCAGUCCGUCGGGUCAGUCAAAUUUUAAUGUAAUUUUCUUUAAAAUGAACAAAAAUAAUUAAUUUAUUCCUUUAACACGAAAUGAUAAAUGUACUUUUUUUACAUGAUUAAUUUUUUUAAUAUUUUUAUUAGAAAGUAAAAUUCAACCUAAUCAUAUUAAAUUUUUAAGAAAAUUAAUUUAUAUUUUUUAUUUAAAUUUUUAUUAGAAAAGUAAAAUUCAAUCCAACUGUUAGGGCUUUCGUGGCCCUCUUAGUAGCUUUUUCUUAUUGUUAAAUGACUAUAUAUACAGGUAUGUGACGGGGAGGCACCCACCGGCGGCGGAUCAGUUGGAUAGUGCAGGGAUGAAAUUGGCUAGCAAGGCACGGGAGAUGAAAGAUAGGGCGGCACAACUCACCGGUGCGGCGGCUUCUUAAAUUAGUUCUCUACUGCAUGCUUUUGUAAAGGAGCUGUGCAAAAGUUCAG